UAAAAUAUUAAGUUGAAACGAAGGGGCAUUUGAUGCUGUAUCGUGGCCUUCCACCGAUCACAAGAUGUAGUAUUGUUUCAGCAUUGAGUAGUCACGCACGGUCCCAUAGGGCUACUUGUGUUUGAACUAUCCGAACAUCUUGCCAUAGGAUACUACAAUAUGGCAUUACCAAUGGAUCCAAGAAAACGUCCGGUGAGGGUCUUUUGAUUAUUCCAUAUUUGUAAGAGAGGAGGAUUAGACUUAACUAAGAUUGUUGCGCCAAGAAGUCGUCCGGGAAGGCAUAAAAACCUUAGAGGCAGAAGGAUGAUUGGAUUACACAUAAGAUGUGUCGAGGUAAGAUGUUACCCGUUCAUUAAAUUACGGCUUUCCAAGAAACUAUCCGGUCAGGUAAGUCGUAAUUUAUGAAACCCCAAUCACCAAUAAGAAAUCUAGUGGAUGAGGAUUUUCGUCUUUCUACUUAGGGAGUGUAGAAAUUCGAUAAAAUUAGUGGGAUGAACCUUUUAAACUAAAAGACCCUAGUUUAAUAGGUUAAAAAGAAAAAUACUCACCUAACUAAAAUCUCUACUUUCUGCAGACAAAAUGAAUGCCUCUAACCCUUUUUCUCGCAUAAUGGAAUUUAACCGAUUAAACCGGCCCUAAUUUCCAAGACUGGCUUCCUAACCUAAAAAUUAUUUUAAGUAUUGAAAAGCUUGAUUAUGUUUUUCAAGCUCCAAUUCCCGAGCUUACCACUAAGGCCACACCUGAAGAAAUUCAGGAGAGAGACAAGUGGAUAGAUGAUGACCAGCGUGUUAAAUAUUACAUGCUGGCCUCCAUGUCAAAUGAGCUACAACGGCAGCAUGAGAACUACGUUCAUGCAUAUGAGAUGUUUAUGCACUAACAAGAGUUGUAUGGUGCACAAAGCCGAACCGUAAGAUAUGAGAUAUCAAAGCGGUUGUUUAGGGCUCAGAUGACUCCAGGCACGUCAGUCAGUGAUCAUUGUCUCCAAAUGAUUAACGAUAUGGACCAGCUGAUAAACCUCGGCUUGAACCUGGACGCAGACUUACAGAUCGAUCUAGUUCUACAGUCUUUGCCAGAAUCGUUCUCUCAUUUCGUCAUGAACUUUAACAUAAAUAAGAUUCAUGCCACUUUGUCUGAACUUAUGAAUAUGCUAGUCAUAGCGGAAAGCACGUUGAAAACAAACGGGAUGGCGAUGGCUGUGGAAAGAACUUCGUCUUCCAAAAGAAAGUUCAAAGGAAAGAAAAAGUUUUCCAAGUUCAAGUCAUCGGGUGGAGUGAAGAAAGCCAAGUAUAAGAAAUCCGACAAAGGCAAGGCUAAAGGAAAAUGUUUCCAUUGCGGAAAAGAAGGGCAUUGAAAAAGAAAUUGUAAAGAAUAUCUUUCUACCCUAAAAGAAAAUUUGAAAGACGGUUCUUCCGAAGGUACGGACCAAAUGCUCAUCGUUGAGGCCAAUAUAAUUGGCUCUACUUCUUCUUGGGUAUUAGAUUCUGCACGUACCUUACAUCUUUGUAAUUCAUUGCAGGAUCUAAAGGGAAGUAGAACACUGAAGGAUGGCGAGGUGACCCUACGUGUGGGUAAUGGAGCAAGUGUUGCUGUGUUAGCCGUAGGGAGCUGUUCUUUGAGACUUUUUUCCAUCUGGACAUAUUUUAGAAUUAGAGAAUUGUUAUUAUUCUUCUUUAGUUGUUAGAAAUUUGAUUUCUGUUACAGCUUUAGCUCGAACUGGCUAUCGUUUUAUUUUGAAACUAAUGGUUGUUUUAUUUAUUUUCAAAAUAAAUUGAUAGCUACUGGUAGUUUAGUUAACAAUCUCUACUUUCUAAAUCUGGGUGGAAAUGUUUCUAAUAUUGAACAUAAAGAGAAUAAGAGACUUAGAGAUAAUAAUCUGAACCAAAAGUAUCUAUGGCACCUUAGACUAGAUCAUACUGCAAAAGAUAGGAUAAACCGACUGGCCAAGAAUGGGCACUUGGGAACUUGUGCUUUAGAAUCUUAUCCAGUUUGUGAGUCUUGUCUUCAAGACAAAAUGGCCAAGUCACCCUUUGUUGGACAAAGAGAGCGAGCCACAGAGUUACUUGCCCUUGUACACUCAGAUGUGUGUGGACCGUUUAGUGAAACGGCUCGGGGUGGUUAUCUUUACUUUGUGACUUUUACUGAUAAUUAUUCACGGUAGGGUCUGUGUUUCUUAUGAAACAUAAGUUUGAAACUUUUCAAAAGUUCAAAGAGUUCAGAUAUGAAGUAGAGAAGCAAACAGGAAAAACUAUUAAGGCUCUUUGAUCAGAUCGAGGAGGCGAAUACCUUAAUGCCGAAUUUCUAAAUUAUCUCAAAGAAAACGGUAUUCUCCCGCAAUGGACACCUCCUGGAACUCCGGAAUUGAAUGGAGUUUCAGAAAAAAGAAAUCGUACUUUAUUAGAUAUGGUACGAUCAAUGAUGAGCUUCACAGACUUACCUUUAUUUCUUUUAUGCUCUAUUAACCGCAGUCUACAUUCUAAACGGGGUGCCUUUAAAAUCUGUUCCUUGUACUCCGCAUGAGAUGUGGUUCGGCAAAAAAUCGGGUCUCAAUCAUUUAAGGAUUUGGGGAUGCCCAUCUUUUGUUUAAAAACUUAAAACAGAUAAAUUAGAGGCUAGGUCGGAUAAAGAAAGAUUUAUUGGUUAUCCCAAGGAGUCUACAGGAUACUAUUUUUAUCUUCAAAAUGAACAAAACGUGAUUGUUAGCCGACAUGCAAUAUUUUUGGAAAAAAAGUUUGUCCAAAAAGGUGGUGCCGGAAAAGAGAUAGUGCUCAAACAGUUGGUCUCAAAUGAGCUAACAAUUUCUCUAAAAUAAUCUGAACAAAUUAUUCAAACUGAACCCACUAUUAUUCAAUUACCUCAAAGAUCUAGUAGAAUAUCCCAACCUCCAGAGAAAUAUUGAGAUUUCAUUAUGGAAUGCACGAAAGAAAUGUUCCUCAUUGGCGAUAGUGAUCGCAGGGAUGAUUUAGAGGUCCAUUUAUGGAUUGAAGCAGGCUUCAGAGGAGUUGGAACAUACGGUUCAAUGAUGUAGUCAAAACGUUUAGCUUCGUGAGAAAUCAAGAUGAACCUUGUGUUUACAAGAAGACUAGCGGGAGUCAACUUGUCUUUCUCGUAUUGUACGUGAACGACAUUCUUUUGAUUGGAAAUGAUACAGGUUUGAUGACCUCUGUCGAGGUUUGGUUUUUCUAAAAUUUCUUAAUGAAAGAUUUAGGAGAGGCAGCCUAUAUCCUUAGAAUUAAGGUCUAUAUAUAGAGAUAGAUCUAAGAGGCUAAUCGGUUUGUCACAACAGAUGUACAUAGAAGAUGUGUUGAAAAGAUUCAACAUAGAAAAUUCCAAAAGGGGUCUUCUUCCUCUUAGACAUGGAAUUAAUCUUUCCAAGAUAAUGUGUCCUAAAACACCUGAGGAAAGAGAGCACGUGAGUAGAAUUCCCUAUGCUUCUGCAAUAGGGAGUCUCAUGUAUGCUAUGCUAUGUACAAGACCGAAUAUUGCGCAUGUUGUAAGUGUUACGAGCAGGUAUCAGUCCAAUCCAGGUGAAGAACACUGGUGAAAACUAUCCUUAAGUACUUGAGAAGAAUUAAGGAUUUGUGUUUAGUGUAUGGUGGGCUAACGUUAGAAGGCUUCACAGAUUCAGACUUCAUGUCAGAUGUUGAUGAUAAAAAGUCAACAUCAUGACAUGUUUUCAUAUUGAAUGGUGAGGCUAUCAUUUGGAAGAGUUCCAAAUAGAAUACAACAGCAGAUCCCACUACUGAGGUAGAAUACAUUGCAGUAUCUGAGGCAUCAAAGAAGGCAGUUUGGCUUCGAAAGUUCGUGACGGAACUAGGAGUGGUGCCUUCUAUAUAUUGAGGAGCCAAUGCCACUUUACUGUGACAAUAAUGGAGCUAUAGCGCAAGCUAAAGAACCGAGGUCUCACCAGAAGUCCAAGCAUAUAGAUCGACGCUACCACAUCAUCCGACAAUUUGUGGAUGAACGUCAGAUUGUUGUGUAGAAAGUAGCAUCCGUGGACAAUAUUGCGGAUCCUCUUACUAAGCCGCUCACACUUCAAAAACUAGAUAUGCAUUUAGAAAGAAUGGGUAUGAGAUGCAUGAGCGAUUGGCAUUAGUGUUAGUGGGAGAUGGUUAGUGAUAUACCCUAAAGUCAAUCGGUGACAUAGGUUUAUGGACAUAUUUUGUAUUUUUUCUUUAUUUUAUAAACGGCAAGUUUGUAUUCAUGUUUAUUGUUAGCAGUACAAUAUAUUUACAUGAAUCGUCCCUUGAAUCUUUGUUAAGAAAAUAUAUUCCUAAGAGUUAGGAAUUUGAGAUAUAUAUUUCUUUGUACAAGAUUCUUAAACGCUCCUAGUCAUAGGAAUAUCAUAAGGGCAAUGAUAUUUUCGGAUAGGCCGGUGUAUGCUAUACUUCUAAGUUGAGGUGACGAAUCUCAAGUCAUUAGUGUAAGGACACUAAAGUAAGCAUGCAUGUGCUUGUUAGCGAACAAGUACACUGAGCGUAACCAUUUAAUUGAACAAUCACAUGAUUCCAUAUUCGCCAAUGACUAGUUCUUUGCUACAGUGGUGUGAAGUACUCCUCGAACCUGAGGCAUCAUGGUUGCUUCACAUAUAGAUUGCUAUCGUUUGACUGUACUAAUACUUAGACUCUAAUCAUUGGUCUACAUUUAGUACUGAUUGGCUAUAGUAGUUAUAUGGGAAGGCAUGAGAGUGCGCAAUAAGGGAUUCAACACUCUCAAUAUUGAGAGAGAACGUCCUAUGUAGACUAUCAGACUCGACUCGGAAAAUCCCUGGCCAGGGUACGUAAUGUGUGGAAAGAGUUUCCAGCUAUGUUACUAUAUUGAAUCGGUUUUAGAUAUUCUAGUCAUAUGAUCGAAUAAUAAGAUUUGGUGAGUAACCAUAGCUCUAGUCCGAUCGGGACGUUGUGUGUUUGAAGGAAUUAAUCACAUGAUAACUGUUAGCGGAAAGGUUCAUUAUUCAUCAUCAUUCUAGAUUGCCGUGAUUUACUGCUAGGUGUCACUCAUGGACAGUGAGAGAAGUAAAAAAUUAUUUAAAAUAAAUUAUGCCAUAGAUUAAAAGAGUUCUAAUUCAAUAUUAAAGAGUUUGAUAUUGAACUCCACUGCCGAAUGGUAAUGGACCUAUGCGGUCACACACAAUAGGAAUUGUGUGCAUCCAAUAUGACAAGAGGCACCACUCCUAGUUCCGUGACGAACUUUCGAAGCCAAACUGCCUCCUUUGAUACCUCAGAUGCUGCAAUGUCUUCUGCCUCAGUAGUGGAAUCUGCUGUUGUAUUCCCUUUGGAACUCUUCCAAAUGAUAACCUCACUAUUCAAUAUGAAAACAUGUCCUGAUGUUGACUUUCUAUCAUCAACAUUCGACAUGAAGUCUGAAUCUGUGAAGCCUUCUAACGUUAGCUCAUUUCCACCAUACACUAAACACAAAUCCUUAGUUCUUCUCAAGUACUUAAGGAUAGUUUUCACAGCAGUCCAGUGUUCUUCACCUGGAUUGGACUGAUACCUACUCGUAACACUUACAGUAUGCGUAAUAUCCGGUCUUCUACAUAACAUAGCAUACAUGAGACUCCUUAUUGCUAAAGCAUAGGGAAUUCUGCUCAUGCGCUCUCUUUCCUCAGGUGUUUUAGGACACAUCAUCUUGAAAAGAUUAAUUCCAUGUCUAAGAGAAAGAAGACCCCUUUUGGAAUUUUUUAUGUUGAAUCUUUUCAACACAUCUUCUAUGUACAUUUGCUGUGACAAACCGAUUAGCCUCUUAGAUCUAUCUCUGUAGACCUUAAUUUCAAGGAUAUAGACUGCCUCUCCUAGAUCUUUCAUUAAGAAAUUUUGGGACAACCAAACCUUGACAGAGGUCAUCAAACCUGUAUCAUUUCCAAUCAAAAGAAUGUGUUCUAUGUACAAUACGAGGAAGACAAGUUGGCUCCGACUAGUCUUCUUGUAAACACAAGGUUCAUCUUGAUUUCUCACGAAGCCAAACGUUUUGACUGCAUCAUUGAACUGUAUGUUCCAACUCCUCGAAACCUACUUCAAUCCAUAAAUGGACCUCUGAAGCUUGCAUACUUUAUGUUUCUGGCUAUCGGACACAAAUCCCUCAGGCUGUUGCAUAUAUAUGUCCUCUUCUAUGAAUCCAUUGAGGAAAGCAAUUUUUACGCCCAUUUGCCAGAUCUCACAGUCAUAGUAUGCGGCUAUGGCAAGUAAUGUUCGAAUGGAUUUAAGCAUGACCACAGAAGAGAAUGUUUCUUUAUAGUCGAGACCUUCUCGUUGAUUGUAGCCUUUUGUUACAAGUCUCGCCUUGCAUGUCUACUUUUCCAUCUGCACCAAUCUUUCUCUUAAAAAUCCAUUUACAACCAACAGGUACUAUACCUUCUGGUGGAUCAACAAGAGUCCAUACAUGAUUGGUAUACAUUGAGUCCAUCUCGGACUUUAUAGCUUCUUGCCAUUUUAUUGAGUCGAUGUCUGACAUCGCCUCUUCGUAACUGGUAGGAUCAUCCCUGCGAUCACUAUCGCCAAUGAGGAACAUUUCCUUCGUGCAUUCCGUAAUGAAAUCUCAAUAUUUCUCUGGAGGUUGGGAUAUUCUACCAGAUCUUCGAGGUAAUUGAAUAAUAGUGGGUUUAGUUUGAAUAAUUUGUUCAGAUUAUUUUAGAGAAAUUGUUUGCUCAUUUGAGACCAUCUCUUUGAGCACUAUCUCCUUUCCGGCACCACCUUCUCGGACAAACUCUUUUUCCAAAAAUAUUGUGUGUCGACUAACAAUCACGUUUUGUUCAUUUUGAAGAUUAAAAUAGUAUCCCAUAGACUCCUUGGGAUAACCAAUAAAUCUUUCUUUAUCCGACAUAGCCUCCAAUUUAUCUAUUCUAAGUUUUUUAACAAAAGCUGGGCAUCCCCAAAUCCUUAAAUGAUUGAGACCCGAUUUUUAGCCGAACCACAUCUUAUGAGGAGUACAAGGAACAGAUUUUGAAAGCACCAUGUUUAGAAUGUAGACUGCAGUUAAUGGAGCAUAACCCCAAAGAAAUAAAGGUAAGUCUGUGAAGCUCAUCAUUAAUCGUACCAUAUCUAAUAAAGUACGAUUCCUUCUUUCUGAAACUCCAUUUAAUUCGGAGUUCCAGGAGGUGUCCAUUGCGAGAGACUACCGUUUGUUUUAAGAUAAUUUAGAAAUUCGACACUAAGGUAUUCGUCUCCUCGAUCUGAUCGAAACGCUUUAAUACUUUUUCCUGUCUGCUUCUCUACUUCAUAUUUGAACUCUUUGAACUUUUCAAAGGUUUCAGACUUGUGUUUCAUAAGAAACACAGGCUCAUACCGUGAAUAAUCAUCAGUAAAAGUCACAAAAUAAAGAUAACAACCCUGAGACGUUUCACUAAACGGUCCACACACAUCUGAGUGUACACGGGCAAGUAACUCUGUGGCUCGCUCUCUUUGUCCAACAAAGGGUGGCAUGGUUAUUUUGCCUUGAAGACAAGACUCACAAACUUGAUAAGAUUCUAAAGCACAAGUUCCCAAGUGCCCAUUCUUGACCAGUCGGUUUAUCCUAUCUUCUGCAGUAUGAUCUAGUCUAAGGUGCCAUAGAUAUUUUUGGUUCAGAUUGAUCUCUAGGUCUCUUAUUCUCUUUAUGUUCAAUAUUAGAAACAUUUCUAUCCAAAUUAAAAAAGUAGAGAUUGUUAAGUAAACUACCAGUAGCUACCAAUUUAUUUUGAAAAUAAAUAAAACAACCAUUAGUUUCAAAAAUAAAACGAUAACCAGUUCAAGCUAAAGCUGUAAUAGAAAUCAAAUUUCUAACAACUAAAGAAAAAUAAUAACAAUUCUCUAAUUCUAAAAUAUGUCCAGAUGGAAGAAAGUCUCAAAGAACAGCUCCCUAUGGCUAACACAGCAACGCUUGCUCCAUUACCCACACGUAGGGCCACCUUACCAUCCUUCAGUGUUCUACUUUUCUUUAGAUCCUGCAAUGAAUUACAAAGAUGUAAGGUACAUACAGAAUCUAAUACCCAAGAAGAAGUAGAGCCAAUCAUAUUGGCGGCCUCAACAUGAGCAUUUGGUUUGUACCUUCAAAAGGCCCGUCCUUUACAUUCUUUUAGGGUAGAAAGAUAUUUUUUACAAUUUUUUUUCCGAUGCCCUUCUUUUCCGCAAUAGAAACAUUUUCUGUUAGCCUUGCCUUUGUCGAAUUUCUUAUAAUUGGCUUUCUUCACUCCACCCGAUGACUUGGUCUUGGAAAACUUUUUUUUUUUCCUUUGAACUUUCUUUUGGAAAACAAAGUUCUCUCCACAGCCAUCGCCAUCCCGUUUGUUUUCAAUGUGCUUUCCGCUGUGACUAGCAUAUUCAUAAGUUCGGACAAAGUGGCAUGAAUCUUAUUCAUGUUAAAGUUCAUGAUGAAAUGAGAGAAUGAUUCUGGCAAAGACUGCAAAACUAGAUCGAUCUGCAAGUCUGCGUCCAGGUUCAAGCCGAGGUUUAUCAGCUGCUCCAUAUCGUCAGUCAUUUUGAGACAAUGAUCACUGACUGACGUGCCUGGAGUCAUCUGAGCCCUAAGCAACCGCUUUGAUAUCUCAUAUCUUGCGGUUCGGCUUUGUGCACCAUACAACUCUUGUAAGUGCGUAAGCAUCUCUUAUGCAUGAACAUAGUUCUCAUGCUGCCGUUGUAGCUCAUUUGACAUGGAGGCCAGCAUGUAAUAUUUAACACGCUGGUCCUCAUCCAUCCACUUGUCUCUCUCCUGAAUUUCUUCAUGUGUGGCCUCAGCGGUAAGCUCGGGAAUUGGAGCUUGAAGAACAUAAUCAAGCUUUUCAAUGUUAAGGAUUUUAUAGGUUGGCGAAUUUCGUAAAGUUGGUUGGAGUCUUGAAGUGUUGAUCGCAGAAGUUUUGAAGAAAAAAAUUCAAAUUGAAGAAAUAAGACUCAUUCGGAAAGCUCGACACCCAAGGUAUAAAGAAAAGAUUAUUUGUGGUGAAUAUAACUAAUUAGACUAAGUUCAGAAGGCUUAGAUUACUUCAAACAUUCUUUACUGAACUUUUCUGUGUUCUGGGACCGGUCCCUGAGGUCAAGAGACUGGUUCCCCUAAGGUCCUCACUGCGUGAACCUUGAUGCAACCGGUCCCCUGUGAUGAGAGACCGAUUCCCGAACCAUGGUGUUUCUGUCGCGCAGCGAGGGACCAGUCUCAAGCUUGAGAGACCGGUUCCCGAACGUUGGGAUUUUUGUCACGCAGUGAGGGACCGGUUCCUCACUUGAGAGACUGGUCUCUCACAGACCGGUCUCCUCGAGAAGACCGGUCUCUGAGGACGACACAGGUUUUUAAAAAAAGACUUUUUGCAAUCCUAGUCUACUUCUAAGUCUUCUAAACAUAUAAAUAAGCUAUGUGGGUCAUCAAAAAGUUUAAGGCUCUGAAUAUUUACAUAUUCUAAACCCUAGAAACUUGUUUUUUCGUUUUCAAUGUUUCAAUUCACAUAACGAGUUUUCUACAAUCAACAAUCGGCUUGAUUCUUCGGUUUUACUCGAUAACUCAUACGAGAAUCAAGUAGAUAUUUGAUUAAAGGUGAACCCUCAUAGCUUAUGGUAUUAAAAGGUCAAAUCAUCACAAAUCUUCGAUUCUACAAGCUCCGGAAGGAGGUUCGGCGCGUGGAUCUCGCGUGAAGCUGAGGAUUCGGUGGACGCUUCGAGGAAUUGAGGCGUUGACGCUGCGAGGAGUUGCAGCAAGGUCGAUUGGUGGAUUCUUAUCGAUCGAGGACCGGCUAAGAUCAUCAACUACGGGAAAUUGGUAAAUUGAGUCGUGUGUUUUGGUCAAAAUCACUUGUACUCAUGUUUUCUUAGUGGAUUUUCUUUGCGUGAUUGGUCCCGUGGGUUUUCACUCCGAUUUGGAGUUUUCCCACGUUAAAUUCUCGAUGUGCUCUUUUAUUUUUCGCUAUUUUGUUUUAUUUGCAUCGAGAUUUUCGAGUUUGCCGUUUUUACACCUAUUCACCCCCCUCUAGGUGUUACUUACCUUUUAGAUCCUCGGGAUCCAUAUAUUACAUUCAAUACCUAAAACAAUUUUUAGGUUACGAAGCCAGUCUUGAAAAUUAUGGCCGGUUUAAUCAGUUAGAUUCCAUUAUGCGAGAAAAAGGGUUAGAGGCAUUCAUUUUGUCUACAGAAAGUAGAUAUUUUAGUUAGAUGAGUAUUUUUCUUUUUAACCUAUUAAACUAGGGUCUUUUAGUUUAAAAGGUUCCUCCUACUAAUUUUAUCGAAUUUCUACACUCCCUAAGUAGAAAGACGGAAAUCCUCAUCCGUUAGAUUUCUUAGUAGUGAUUGGGGUUUCAUAAAUUACAACUUACCUCACCGAACAGUUUUUUGGAAAGCCGUAAUUUAAUGAACGGGUAACAUCUUACCUUGACACAUCUUAUGUGCAAUCCAACCGUCCUUCGGCCUCUAAGGUUUUUAUGCCUCACCGGACGAUUUUUUGGCACAACAACCUUAGUUAAGUCUAAUCCUCCUCUCCUACAAAUAUGGAAUUAGCAAAAGACUCUCAGCAAACGGUUUCUUGGAUCCAUUGGUAAUGCCAUAUUGUAGCAUCCCAUGGCAAGAUGUUCGCAUAGUUCAAACACAAGUAGCCUCAUGGGACCAUGCGUGACUACUCAAUGCUGAAACAAUACUACAUCUUGUGAUCGGUGGAAGGCCACAAUAGAGCAUCAAAUGCCCCUUUGUUUCAACUUAAUAUUUUAUAGGGAGUUUAAAUACUUUAAAAUUAUAUCGGUCUUAUCAUCACAUGUUUCAUCUCAUAUAACAUAAAUCACAGGUAUCAGAUACACAAAAUUUAACUGCACAGUUUAGGGAUGAUCAUGGACUUUUCUUAUUCGACUCGAGCUGAUGAGUCAAAUCGGUCUAUAGGGUAAUACACAUAUAUUCUCAACUCUUGAGAUUAUUUCGCUUGCAAAUAUUUAGCCAUCUUCUUCUGUUGGAUCUGAUACAUCCUUUGAUGCCAUCAUGAUUUGCGACACCAAUCCAUCAACGCUUGAUGUGCAUUCUUCUCCAAAUAACCCUAAUUUCAUCUAAUCAAAAUUACAGGGAUUCGUAGAUCCCAAUUAAAAUAAAGAUGGCACGCAGGCCCUUCGUAAUUUUACAAAAUACACCAUAAUUAGAAAAUUACAACAUUACAUAUACAUCCAUAAUCAAAUCACAGAUACAUCAAUAAUCACAUCACAGAUGUCUUAGGUCCAUGAUCAUCACCCAUCUAAAAAUAAUGCAGAAAAUAAUAACCAAAUCGAUCUAAACAUCAAUAAAAAAUUUUGGAACUCAAUAAUAUGUUUUUCUCAAGUCUCCACUUAUUUAUUUUAUGGUGUGAAACUAAUAAAUCACAGUACGUGCAAUUUAAGAAAAACAAUAUUGAUCUAAUCGUAAAAGCUUAGUGAUGGGCUGCUCCUCACCAAGAGGCAUCGCGUCUAUGUGCCUAGAUGGGGCAAUCUUCUCGAGAGCUCAUGAAGGAGUGCCUUGACUCUCAACUGGGCUGGGCAUCCGAGGCAGAAGUGGACCCUGGCACUACUGGAGGCCGCCUACUAUUUGCCUCGCAUGCAUAACGAUGUGGAGGCGUACGUGCGGACCUGUCUUGUGUGCGAGCAAGAUAAGGUGGAGUGCCAGAAGCCAGGGGACCUCCUCAAGCCCUUGCCUACAUCGACGUGUCUGUAGGAGUGUCUCCAUGGACUUUAUUUCCACCUUCCCCAAGGUGGGGGCGUUGGGGUCCAUCCUCAUAGUGGUGGACCGACUCUCUAAGUACGGGACCUUCAUAGCAGCACCAGCGGAUUGCAUAGCGAAAGAAGCGGCGUGGCUCUUCGUCAACAAUGUGGUGAAGCUUUGGGGCAUCUCCGAGAGCAUUGUGAGUGAUCACGACCCUAGGUUCACAGGCAAGUUCUGGACGGAGGUGUUUCGAAUCUUGGGUCAGAGUUAUUCUUCUCCACUAGCUUCCACCUACAGACGGAUGAUCAAACAAAGCAGGUGAAUGCCUUGCUGGAGGAGUACUUACGGUACUAUGUUAGUACCAACUAGAAAGACUUGGUGCAUCACUUGGACGUUGCCCAGUUUUCCUACAAUUUGCAGCAGAGCGAGUCAACAAACCUUAACCCAUUUGAGUUGGCGACAGGAAGGCAACCACUCACUCCACAUUUCGUUAUUGCAGGCAAGCAGGGCUGCAACCCCAUGGCCCUCCAAUUCACCUCUCAUUUAUAGGAGAAGAGGGACAUUACGAGGGUCUAUCUUGAGAAGGCGGCCCACCAAAUGAAGAAGUGGGCUGAUGCAAAGUGACGACCCUUAGAGUUUGCUAAGGGGGACCAAUCCUAGUCAAGCUGCAACCACAACAAUUCAAGGCCUUUCGCAAAGUGCACCAUGGGCUUUUGCAGAAGUACGAGGGGCUUUUCACUAUUGUGAAGAGGGCGGGCAAGGCAACCUACAAACUACAACUCCCCGCCAACUUGAAAAUCCAUUAUGUCUUUCAUGCUAGCUGCCUAUGGCCCUACUACGAAGAUGUUGAGGACCCGAGUCGAGGCGUGUCACAGCGCGCUCCCACUACCAUGACCACUGCUAUCGACAAGGUGGUCAAAGCCUUGCUGGACAAUCGCACCAUUCGUUGUCGCGACGUCCCACCAAGCAUCGAGUACCUUGUCAAGUGGAAGAACCUCCCACAUGGCGAAGCAAGCUGGGAGAAGGCUGACACUCUCUGGAAGUAUCAGAAGUUGAUUGAUGACUUCCAGCACCAGCGCACGACGAGGGCAUCUGUGCAUUAGGUGGGGGAGGUUGUCAGGACUUAGAAAUUUUCUUCAAGAUUUUUCUUUGCAAUCACUCAAACUCCAAAGUGGAUAUCUAUCAGAUGUUUUGCCCUAAUAUUUCAGAAGCAUCUCUACGGAUCUCAAGACUGAUGGUGCGGGAAUCGAGGACUCUCAUAGAGUUUCUAUGUUUCUAGAAGGUGUAUUUACUAGGACUAUUGGGAGCUCAUAGCCUCCCCUUUUGGCUUGUAGUUUCAUGCCACUUGGCAUUUUUCUGUUUGCUUUAUGGACAACGAGUGGCUUUUAAAUAGAUGUGGCCUCCAUCCCCCCAACUCGGAAUCCUCAUUCGUAAUUCUCUACUUCAAAAUAAUAGAAGAGCUUUUUUCAUCUCUCUUUCUUAUUCUUACUUUAGGGUGAGUAGAUCCUAACUUAGCAAAUAGAGAGGUAAGCUUACUCACUUCGUGAAGGAAGGCGACCGCCGCAUGGGCUAAACGAGCAAUUUAGCUUAAAUCCAUGACAUCGUGUUCGGUUUGAAAUCAGCUCGAGAUCGAUCGCUUGUUUAAUAAACGAGCCGAACACAAGUUGAAUUUUUCAAUUCGGAAUCUUAGCGAGCGGAACACAAAUAACUCUCCAAGAUUGCAUCUAGUGCAGAAGCUAAAUUAGCUCCUAUUUCUUGCUGUUCACUCAUCAGAGAGCUUUUUUAUCAAAAUGAAUUUUCAAUCCUUCAAAAAAUUAAAGUAUAACUUAUAAAUUAACAAUAUUCUCCAAAAAAAAAAGCUAUUUCGCAUACGAGUGUAUCAUGUGCAUAGUGUAUAAGAUAGGAAAUUCACCACCACUUUGUCAUAUUUAUACACUUUCCCCAUAGCUUUCUUAAGUAUGAUGUUAAUACAAUCCACUACAAGGUCAAAUGAAAGAGGAGAAAUAUCUAGAUUUUAGGUCAAACCAAAUAUUAAAAAAAAAUUAUAUUUUGUAAAUUUUAAUUUUUCUUUAAGAUUCUAAAUUUUCCGAUUUUAUUUUAAUUUUUUACCCAAUAAUAAGACUGAUAAUUUAACUUGCUGUUCAUAAGCCAGCUCAUGUUCACUUCGUUAAUGAACAAGCCGCAUAUGAGCUAGACUUUUCAGCUCAAUAUUUUAAAAAUAUUUUAAAAGUGAGCUCGCAUAUGGAUCGUUUAUUAAAUGAGUCGAUCACAAGCUGAACCAGCUCGCUCAUGUUCCGCCCGUUGACGGCCCUACUUGGAGGAGACAACUGACAAAACCUACUAAAAAAUGAAGUACUUUACUGACAAAAAUGUACUUCUUACAGCUACAUUUGCAGCAUAUCCAUUUCUUUUGUUGCCAAACAGAAUCUAGAAAGUCUAAUUUGUGCAUCUCCAAAUAGAAGUAAAUUUUGCAAACAUCACCAGGAGAAAAAUCAAGUCCCCCCUUGGAAGCCUUUCAACCAUAUAGAACUUCAGAAAAGACAGAUAAUAAAAGGCAUAAACAGCACAUUAACUAUAAUCACAAGGAUCUAAGUACUUUAGGGCGUGUUUGGAUUGACGUAAAUUGCCAUUCGGCCGCAAAUCAAGUUUACUAAGAGCAGAAACAACAGCUUUACCCUCGACCGUCCCAAACCAUGUGCUCAAUUCCUCGAAAGCAGUUCCACUGACGAAAUCUUCUCGUCAUCAUGGUCGACGGUGACACUGACUGAACUGGUUUUACGACUGAAUUGCAAUUACAUCAAACAUAAGUCCGGUAAGCCGAACAAAGUGGCAGACUGCUGCCGGGCCCAGUAUGGAAGUUUAACACAUCAAACAAAAUACAUUAUACAAUACAAAAAAGUACAAAAUAAAAUGGCCACUCUCUAACAGAGAACCUAGGAACCUGGAAUAACUCUUUUUUAUACUGUAUCAUAUUGCCGACAAUACAAUAGAUGCUUCCAAAACAAGUAGCAUCCAAAGAUCUAGCAUAUCACCGACUACUUCAAAAGGAGGCACUGUAAGAAACUCUGAGGGUUAGCACAUCUCAUCUGAUGAUUUGGAAAACCUGUGCCGGAGCUGACGGUAUAACUCGCUAAAUUGUAUAUGUCAGUGUUUCCGAUACUAGAUCACUAUGCGGGUGGAAAGAACCGAUUCAGAUUGAACGGAAGUGUAUAAAAUUCUUCGUUCCGGUUGUCCCCUCUGAACGUUCUGAACUUUACCCACCAUGGCAUGCCCCUAUCCUUCUUAGACUUUGCGACGUCCAAGGUGUUGUCCAGGAACACACUGACGAUCAACCCGACGGUCGGAGACGACAUGAAUAUCGUAUUUAAGAAAGCAUUGAACUGCAAGUUGGGGGACAACAGAAGUUUAGCAGAAUGCAAUUGUGAAUCCAAAACGUAAAACCCAAGAAUUCCAGUUCUAUGAUACUAAGAAAGUUGUUGAACUUUAGGACAUAUAUAUAUAUAUAUAUAUAUACACACACCACCUCUGAAACAGAAAACUACAAUUCAAGCAUAAGAACCAUAAAGUAGAUUUACUCCUCAAUCUUUGAAAAUUUUUCUAUAACCAUUAUACUUUUAAAUUCAACAUUCCUAAUGUUUGGGCUCAAAAUUUUUUGAUAGACCUGAGGCGUUGACUCAAUUAAAUAAAAGGAAAUUAAAUAAUACUAGAAGUUUGAUGGAACUCGAACUCAGGACCUCCUACUCUGAUACCAUGUUAAAAUGUGCGAAACAACUCUUGUUCUCCAAAAGCUUGAGUUACUAGAGAAUGGUGCUUUAAAUAUUUAUAUUCGGCAUUGUUAAAAUGUGUAAAACGGCCAUCUUUCUCCAAAAGCUUAAGCUAUUAGAGAAUGACGAUAUUUUUAAUAUUCAUAUUCGAGACAUUUUGAUAGGCGGGACGUAGAUUUGAAUUAAAUGAGAAGAAAUUAAAUAAAGUUAGAAGCCUAGCGGACUCAAACUCAAGAUCUCCUACAGUGAUACCAUGUUGAAGAAUGUGAAACAAUCGUUGUUCUCCAAAGCUUAAGCUAAUAGAGAACAGUGUUUUAUAUUUUUAUAUUCAACACAGAUUGCAUAAUUAUUACUUUUUAGCAGGAAGGUGCCUAAGAGAAGCUAAAGAAAACUCUUGAUCUUCUCGAAAUGUUAUUCCAAGUGCUCGUUAUCAUAAUUUAGGCUGUUUAGCUACCAAACACACGACCCUCCAUCAAGGCUUAGGUCCCGCUAAAGUUGCAAUUUGUUGUCAUUAAAAUCCAACAACAUGCAUUUUCGAACAUCAUGGAUUCAUUAUUAUUUCAGAUAAAUCUGUCAAUACAAUUAAUUAAUAUUUCAGAUAUUAUAUAUAAUCAUGCAUGUGAUUCUAACAAUUAUAUAGGCGUAGCAAGUUCACUUAUUGAUCUCUACAAAUCAUUUUACCUUAUGUUUUAAAUAUCUAAAACCCCUUUUGAUAUGAUAUUGUACAUCGCAUUUUAACACUUUAUCUAACCUCAAAGUAUCCCAAGAUAAUUGUCAUAUUUGCUCAAAAGUAGUUGGGAUCGUAUAUUUCAUGUUAUAUUUAUGGGAUAAUUGCCUAUAUACCCCUCAAAACUUCGGAAAUAUCUCAUUUACCCCUACUUUUUUUUUUCUUUCCGAUAUACCCCUUAUAUGUUCCUCCGUUAUUCCAAAAUACCCCUGCAGUUACCACCCGUUAAGUUAACUUGGGUUAAACGUGAGUUAAAUAUCUAUCACAGUUAAAACAAAUUAAAAUACCACUUUUACCCUUAACUUAAGGGCAAAUAAGAAAUGUUGGUGAUAGUAGAAGAGUAUAUUUGAAAAGACCAAAAAGCAAGACACUUUUUGUGCCGCUAAGUUAAGGGCAAAUAAAAAAAGUCGGUGAUGAUAGAAGGGUAUAUUUGAAAGGGCAAAAUAGUAAUUUCACAGAGAUAACAGAGUUCAUUAACAGAUUUUAACUCUAGGGAUAUAUUAGAAAUAGGUUGGAACGUAAAAAGAGUAUUUUCAAUAUUAGCCUUCUAAAGAGGGGUAAAUCAGAAAGUCGGGAACUUUUCGGGGGUAUAUAAGCAAUUGCCCCUAUAUUUAUUUGGAGUAACAUGGAAUUAUAAGAAGAGUAGAUGUAUUUUGAAUCAGUUUGCUUUAGGCCCCACUUGGUACCCAAGAUUGGAUUUGCUAGGGUAAGAGACAGUAUGUUGGGCUAAGAAGCAUUUAGUGACUCGGCAGAUAUCAAGGGUCACAAGAGGACGAAACUAUUGAAUCCAGUCUGGUGAAAUCCCGUUGAGAUGAGAUUAUUGAAUUUUACUACCCGAGAGGUUGGGAUUGAGCGGCAUUGGAUCUGAAAAGUUCCUUUAUAUUAGGACGGAUCCACUACCUACUCACAGUGACUCCUGAUGCCUCUUAAGUCACUGCACCCUCCUCUCCUAAUAUUGCUCUAUCAUCUUAUCCUAUCCAGUCCAAUCUUAGACACCAAACAAGCCCUCGGAGAAAACUGCAUUUUGUGAAGUAUGAAAUAACCUGUUUAAUUUCUACCUUUCAAAAGGCGAGUAUUCAGUACUAGUAACAGAUUAAAGUAUAAAAUUUGGUUUCCUGAAUUCUGUUGGCUUAGAGGGACCGUCAUCCUGCUUUGUGACGGGAGGCCAAGUUAGGCCGCGUCACAUUCGAAAUAGCAGAAGGUCGGGUUGGGGCGCGAAGCUGAUUGGACCAAGUCACAACCGAGACCCAUAAGUGUUGUAUCUGUACGCUUUUAAGUGAAUUGGUUGCGUGUUUGUAACAACUUGAGCUUUCGGGAUUAAUGGUUACGCAAACGAUCCGAAAAAUUCUAGUUACAUGAAUAUCUGAUAUUCCAGUUUUGUUUGGAGUUAGGUUAACUUCACACAAUAUUGCAAUAUUGUUAAACUACAACGUUACCAUAAAAUUUGAAUCAUUUUUGCUUUCUCAAAGGGUAAUAUAUUUUACGAAGUGCGCGCAUGAUGUGGAAAGCAAUUAACUUCAAACUAAAAUUUGUUAAGGCACCAUAAUAACUAUAUUUAUGUAAUGCCCUAAACUCAUAAGGAUACAGAAACUGACCCAUCCUGCACGCGUAUGAACUGGACCAUGCGCAGAAGUAACCAUGGUGUCGCUGAAAAACUGAGGAACAGAUAUUCCAAGGAAAAGCGAAAGCCCAGUGAUCAUGAGAUUCCUCAUGGAGUUCAUGUUGGUGAACUGAAGAAACGAAAUCCCGACAGAUGCUGCACAACAUUCACAAUAAAUCUAAUUAGGAGUGAAAAAGAAAUAUACAUACAUUUCACCCAAAUGAAAGAACAUACCGACAAGGCCGAAUAGUACACAGUACAGAGCAGCAAAUAAAGGGAACGGAAUCGAUGCAAAAACAGCCCCAAAUUUUCCUGACACAAAGAUUAGAUAUCACGCAAUUGUGUUUAGCAGGAGAGACGAAUAAGUAUAUGCUUACUGUGAACUAACAUUUACCUAAGGUUGAAAAAAAUAUCAUAAAAGCAGCUGAUACUUGCACAACUCUUCGGCUGCCAAUUCGAGUUAGCCCAAGAAGCCCCACAUUUUCCCUUAUUUGACACAAACCACUGUUAGUUCCGAUAAUAUUUCCUCACAGACCUAAAAAACUAAGAAUGCUAAAGCUUAAACAUGCAAUGCACCAGCCUUAAUUGUAGCAUACAUUACAUGCAUGUACAAAUUCACGGACUAAUUGAAGUCGGUAGUCGUAAAAGGAUGAAAAGAAAAUCUUACACAGAAACCGAAGAACCAGUUGCUGUUCCAAACAGACCAUCUAGAAGGGUACCUAUCCCCUGCACAAAUUAAGACAAGAUAUGAAUGGUGUUUAUAAAAAUAUAUAAAUAGAUAAAUAAAAGAGAGCAGGUAAUUGGUUUCACAGCUAAGGCUUGUCCCAUGAACCCUAAUGCUGUGGCUUUUGAAUUGCAGAAGCAACCUUUCGAAGUAACAAUGCAUAUCAACUCUCCAAAUAACACAUUGGCACGAGAUUUAUGCAGUAAUAUGCCUCUUUAGGUUUUGUAAGUAGGAAAGUUUUGGAAGGAUAACUCAAUCAAAACUAAAGACAGAGGAAGUAACAUGUGGGAUCUUGUAAGUUAGCAGUGUCUUUUGUCGUUAACCAAAAAAAGAAAAAGGUAAAUAAAUAAAAAAAGUAUCUGUCCACAAGGAAUAUUAGUUACACAAUUUCCUAAAUUGUCGCAAACAGGAAACCAUACAAGUCACUCUUCUUUGUCUAUUGCUACAUAAUUAGCUACACUCUUAAUCUGCACGUCCUCCGAUCAUAAACACUCUGAACACAUCAUGAGAGUAGAAAGACAUUGCAUCACUUUACACAAGAUGCAUUUAAGGACUCCGAAUAUUUGAAAACUUUUCAAUUUGAUUUUUGACCAACCGAUAUUUGUAGCAAGGUACAUGAGGUCCAUAUCUCGUUGCCAUAUUAGCCCUCCAAUUGAAUUUAUCUAUAAAAAUGGACUGAUGCUACUAGGUUGUGCGGACUUGGACAAGGACACCGGACACGACUCAAGAUAGGCGGGUUUAAUUAGUAUAUGCUAUGUAAUUUACGUAACUAGAAAUUCAUUAAAGUAAACAAUUAGCUUAAAUUUUGUAUUCGAAGACCCAUUAAAUUACUUAAAUCCAAAAAAUCAUGAGGUUGAAUACUAAAAUCAAAAUUUUGAAAGGUUGGAUAGACAAAUCAAAAUGGUCUAUAGUUCAGGUAAGUUUUAUACAUUUUUACCAAUAGUCUUUAACUCCAACUCCUUGAGGGAAAUGCUUGUCAUUGAAGAAAUACAACGUUAUCAAUGAAAUCAAAAGCAUCUCCAACAAUAUCCAUACAUCUUACUAACCCACUUGAUGAAAGAUAAAGACUCUUGUGAGAAAAUGCUAAAUCUUUAGCACAUUGUUGUGUUAAUUUAUUCUUUCACAAAUAGUGGACAAAAGAGCAUGUAUUCCAUUCUCACGGCAAAAGAAGAAACUUGAAUGGCCUAAGCAAUGUUCUAAAAAUUGGUAUGCUGUAUGCUAGCGGUCAACCCACUGCAUAGUGCACAUGCGGUAUGCAUACGCAUAUGCAGUUCAUCUAUUAAAUAUUAAAAAUGAGGGUUAAUUUCAUACAGGUCCCUACAAACAUAGUGAAUUGCAAAUAUAUCCCUACAAAGUUCAACUUUCAUAUGUUGUCCCUACAAAAAUCCUGAUGUUUUCAAAUAUGUCCCUACCUUUAGGAUCAGUUAGAAAAAAUUAGUUAACCAUAGGUAAAACACUUAACCCUAGUUAGUUAAUGCGGUGAAUUGACCUUUUUACCCCUCUUUAAUUAAUAGUCGGGACUUUUGGAGGGACAUAUUUAUGAUGCCAAAAGGUCAUUUCACUUAUAAAGAAAACGAUAUUUUAACGGUAACAAACCAGAGGGAUAUAUUUGAAAACAUAGGACUUUUACAGGGACAACAUAUGAAAGUUAAACUUUGUAGGGUUAUAUUUGCAAUUCACUAUGUUUAUAGGGACCUGUAUGAAAUUAACCCAAAAAAUAAAUAUGAAUAUACAAAAUAUACAAAAAUACUUUUAAAAAGUAGGAAUAAACAAAUGUGUCAUAUAUUGUCUAAGCUCUUACGAAGAAUACUCUUUUUCCUCAUAAAUUUUCAUUUAUCAUCACUUCUAGUCAUCCAACAAAGUAACACUUCAAAAAUCUAGCAUGGUGACAUUUACAGAUGUGUCAUAAAUUGUCCUAGGUGAGCUCAAGUCGUGUCUGACCUCCAUCACGAGAUGCAUGGAGGAUGCGUGUCAUCACUGCGCCUAUCACGUUUUAGAGUCGGAAAUGUAUUCAAUAUACGGCAGGGAAUUGAGCUUUUCCCAUAAAUCCAUGUUUCCUAGUUUGUAACCAUGUGGUUAAAUGGUGUAUUAUUUUACACUAGAUUCCAUGGUUCUUUCCUUUCAAUUUUACCUAGUAAAAUUAGGUAAAAAAAAUUCACAUAACUAGAAAUAAAGAUACAAAAUUAUAAAGGCCUAUUGGAACCGUCAUUGUCGGCAUUACUUUAAUACUUCCUCCACACAAACAAGUUGAAUUUGCAAGCAUACUUUGUUCCUAGAAAAACAAAUGUGGGAAUGUCAAUACUCGAUACACCAACAAAUACGUGUGAAUAGCUAAAUAUGUGAAGUGUCGUGCACAUAUAGAAGUGUUUUGCACAUCUUACAUCCUGGGGAUACAGUGAUAUACAUGCAAACAUGAUUCUCUCAUACCCCAUUUGGUUAUGCUUAUUUUUUAUUUUUUUUGUUUUCUCUCAACUCAGAUCCUACAUAAUUGAUUGGGUUGGAUGAAAGACAAUUGUUUGUAGUCAAUACAUCUAUAGGUUUUGUUCCACACUAGGAAAUAUGAACCACUUCAAAAAUGUUGCCAUAUCUGAGCCAUGUCGCGUUGUAUAUGUGUCCCUACUAGACACUCCGUUGACGUGUGUCCAUCAAAUAUCAUUGCUUGUCCACUAUCCUUCAACUCACUUGUUAUGGGGCCAUGUGCGCCAACUAUGUAUCCCGCAUAGGCAUGAUCAUGCAGAGCCACUAUAUUCCCAAAAUGUGUCGAUUAAGUAUCUAAAAUACAAAAAUAAAAGAUUUAUAAGUAGUUAAUUUUCUAUUUAGGAUAUUAUUAUAUGUUUAGUUUCAUACAUCUAUCAGCUAAGAGAGAACAACAACUUUCCCUAUGUGGACUUAUUAUUAUGGGAAUGUUCUUUCUUUUCGAACAAAAUGAGAAUGUAGUUAGAUAGAUAUUUCGCUUCUAAAAAUCAUCAUAUUGAUUGGACAUAUUUUGCCAUAUCCAUGUUCUGCUUUUUUUUUCGAAGUUGUAGCCUGAGCCAUGUUGCAUGUCAUGUCAGUGUCCAUGUCCGUGUAACAAUGGUUUUUCCGCAAUAGAAAACAAAAAUGUAGUAGUAAGUUCUGUUCACUUCGUUUUCUAAAAGAAGAUGAGUUUGUAAACAACCUUAGAAUAUAUAAAUCCAUCAGCCAGCAAAUUCAAUUAUGUAAUUUAAGUUCAGAACGACAGAAUAAUGUAUGCACAAUGAAACGAGUCCUUAACUUUCUAUUUUAAAGUUAAAAAAAAAAAAGUAAAGAAAGAAAAUCUGAGCCAAAUGAAGAAAUGCUGAUGCAGAAUAGCAUCAGAAAAGCAUAAAAGCGUAAAAUUUUAACUCUCCAAGAUUAGAGAAAAUAAUGACACGACUAUCAAAGAAUAAUAACUAACAGCACCAACCUGCCAGCCAAUGCCUCGACUCAAGACAUAAGCAGGAGGGGGAGUUGCAAUGGCUAGGCGCGAGGCUGCUAUGUACGCGCCAGUUGACUGCACAAUACGCCAAAAAAGAAGGAAAAAUGAGUGCAAUCACACUUCCAAGAAUAGGAAAGAACAAUCAAAUAUUAUUACCUCUAUUAUGGACACCAACACUGCGGCCAUCAUGGCAACUGAAUGGCCAGCAUCAAACGUCGGUGCUCCCCAUUGUAAAGGAUAUGGAAACUUGAACCUAACAAACAUCACAUUUAGCAGUAAGUAAAAACCGCACCUUCUUCUUUAAUUAAGACAAUUAAAAAGGAGGAGAAAGGGCUAGAACUGAACCACGGAGCGGAUGAUAUGAGAUUCGCUCGGUCAGUUCGGCAGCUGUUCUGAGUUGUCGGUGGUCUAUGGUUGUAAGCGCCGCCAGCAGUAAGAAUAAUAGAAUAUAUCCAAAUGAUUGCGACACAAAUAAGAACUGGAAAGCGUUCGAAUAUAGGAAUGUCUUUGAAUGGUCUGUAAUGCUUCAAAUACUGCAAAUUAAAAAUUCCCGCCAGGUAAGAAGAAAAGAAAACCGCAACAACGAAAAGAAAAACACACACAACUAUAUUAGUUACUCCCUUAAGAACAGUACCUGCGAUAACCCAAUGAGCAAUAAGAGCAUUGGAAUCCCGAUUUCCACACAGUUUCCUACCUAGGAAUAACAAUUUCAAGUGAGAUAUGCUUUCGUUUUUUCUAGUUGCUACAUUAAUUAUCAAAUCACAGAGAACUCCUUAUACCGUCAACGUACCGCAGGGAAACCUCGUUCAAAAAGGCCAAGACCAACCAGCCCUAACACAGGUGCCAUGCCAAGAGGACUAAAGAACCUGUAAAAAAUAAAUACAAAUGUUAGGUACGAAAUUUGAAAAGCAGCUGGUGUUAACAUGCAUAAUAAGAUAUACCUCGAAAAUAUUCCCCAGAACUGACUGUAUCCAAGCAUAAUUUGUAAACUCGAGGCUACAAUUAGCGCACCUUGAAUAGCUCGCAUGGUUCGUACGAAUCUCUGUAAAUAUGAGAAAUGUGUCAACAGAAGAUAAAUUAAGCAAUUGGCAAUCCUCAUUAGGCCUAAAUGAUAAUGAAAGACAACCGGAAACUAAAAUCAGUUGUCUAACCUGAAUAAAUACUUUAAAAUGAAUAAACAAUAGAAACUCACUUCCUGCGGAUCGGGAAUCUGUUGGAGCGAUGAGUCAUGUAUAAUGUAAAGGAUCGGUAUAACAUAUGUGAAAGAGCCACCAAUAACAGUUGGCAAUCUCGUGCCAAAUAGUGCUUGCAAAAGUGUGUUUAUACCAGAUACAAAUAACAAUGUUUGUAUGACACGAACUUUGUCACCCUAUAUUGAAAAUCAAAUCGCAAUAAGUAAGAAGACAAAAAUAAGAGAAGCUGUUAUGUGACUAUUAACUAAGAAUCAAUAAUAGCAGGCUUUGCGUACUUACAUCACUUCCACCCAUUAGAGGAACAAGUGCCGAAGGAAUCAUAACAGUAGUGCCGAGCAUCAAGAUGUAGUUUUGGAAAGCCAAUACGAUAGUUUCAGCUGCAGAAGAAUGAAUAAGAAACAAAGGAAUAUAUUUCUUCUAGAACGAAUUCCACACAGAUCCAAAAAAUAUUAAAGAACUAUGAAUUGUAGUCUAAUAUGGCAACAAUAAAAUACUCUCUCCCACUAGAUAUAUAUAAAUAAUGACUGUAAUGACUUAUAUAUGCAGGUUACGACAACUUGGAAUGGUGUGUAGACAGCCAGAUAAGAUUAAAAGAGGCAACCACAAGCUGGCUCAGUCCGGCAGUAUGUGCGAUACGAGCGGCAUAGAUGGCAGCACAGGCGAAAAUCUCGGCAUAACUGCCGGUAGACACGAUUCAGCACCGACAGGCACGGUCAUCCUUUGUCUCAAUGAAUAUAUUCAUUUCAGAAUAUGGCUUAUCUUCAUAAAGGAACAAAGAAGAUCUUGAAGGUGUUUAUCUAUUGUUACCAAAUGUGUCAACAAUUAUUGUAUUAUAGAGAUAUGAAAUUUGUACAAACUUUUUGCAGUUAGCAAAAACGCUUGCAUUAUUGUUACGAAAUAAGCUCGGGGACUUGCAAACUUUUAUCGCGUUGGACAUCCGCCAAAACAAACAAAACAGCUAAGCAAAGAAAGCCAAUACAAGCUCUCAUAUUAGGAGCGUCUAAAGAAUCAAAAAAAUAAUAAAGAGGAACUAACUAGAUGGGGUGUCAAUGUUGCUUACAGAGGGCCAUCUUCUAUUUUCUUUCGACGACUCAACGGUGAAUUUUAACAGUCAUACUUCUCAAUGCAUAUGUUUUUCCGCCAAAUAGAUCAUUGAAAAAUCAAGACCUUCCUUGUUAAAUAUAAAAUUACAUAAACACCGUUCUCUAACAGCUUAAGCUUUUAUAGUACAACGGUUAUUUCACAUGGUAUCAGAGCACGAGGUCCUGAGUUCGAGUCAUCCCGGGCUCCUAGCAUUAUUAAUUUCUUCCCAUUUAAUUCAAGUCUACGUCAUGGGCCUUGCAAAAAAUCUCGAGCCCAGACGUGAGGGGAAGUGUUAAAUAUAAAAUUAUAUAAACAUCAUUCUCUAACAGCUUAAGCUUUUAGAGUACAACGGUCGUUUCACAUUCCUAAGGCUACGUGAGCAUCUUUUGACAGAAGCAAAUCAAACUCUAUGAUAACAGCCACGAAGAACGGAUAUAGGACAUAGCAGAACUUGUAUUUGGUAACUUCACCAAAAGGACAUGACGCUCCGUGGACAUGCCUAGCAAAUAUAUCGCUACUUAUUCAAAUCUAGUAAUCAUCAUAAUUAACAACUUUCUCAUCUAUAAGCCCUUCAUUACCAUGUUUAGCAAAGGUAGUUAGUUCUUAGUGUGUUGUAUGUUGGCAAAUUUACGAUCGAAUCUUUAACCACAUUAGCUCUCCCUAAAAUCAGCUUUACUACUCUCACAGCAUUGUGACAAAAUUAUUCCAAGAAGAAGACACAUGACCUUAGGUACAACGGUGCGCACCACGCAUUCAUCAAAACCAUGACGCAAAUGUGAUCACAAAACAUAGCAGCACUAAAGGGCGUAGUUAAAACCUUUGAAUUGCUAGGCAUACAAAGCGACCUUGUAAUGGUCAAAUCAGAACUGAACACCCUUAUCAACACCUGGUUUACCCGAAAAGCUUACGCCAUCAUGUUUGGAGCUAGUUUGUAUAAUCGAUUGCUUUACUCCCUACAGCAUUUCGCCGUUAGAUAUAAUUGUCCCACUAGGGACCAACCUUUUACAGUGCUCAAACAAUCAAAUAUAUACAGAAUAAAUAAUACUUCACAAAAAAGUACAGAAACUAAGGAUAAAAUGUAAAUUAUCAAUCAUUAUCGUCUAAAGCAAAUUCCAAUCCGACAUGCCAAGUUUCCGUACCCACAAAAGCACUGGCUCACUGAAGCAGAGGAAAGGAGAAGAGACCAAAUGAAACAGCAUUGUCACAACAAGGAGUACUCUUCCAGGACCACCACAACAAGAAGAAUCAAAUGGACUACAACAGUGAUCACAAGAAAACAAGAAAGCUAGAAACAAUGGCAAAUAACAGUUACCAACCCCAUGAAAGAUCACUCCAACAACCAGCAAACAAAUUAGAAUGAAAGAUUGCAAAUGAAUGUAUUUCUUUCGUAUUAAGACUAUUCCCGAAUCAUUUCCCAUUAUAUCAACUUCUUAGGUGACAUAGUAUCAGAGUUAGUUCGAAGCAUCAAAAGACCUCAGUUCAAUUCCCACAUCCGUCAUUUAAUAGUACAUUUCCAUCUAUUCUUUCUCUCUUGCUGCCUCUUCCGUCAGUGCACGUGAUCUCCAAGAAACGUUAAGACUAUUUCUGAACUGUUAACUACGACACUCAAUUCCCACAUCCGUCAUUUAAUGGCAUAUUUUUAUAUAUUCUUUUUUUAUGUUAUCUCUUCAGUUAGUGCACGCGAUCUCCAAGAAAUGUUAAGACUAUUUCUGAAUUAUUUCUUAUAACACGAAACUCGAAAAAGAAAAAAAAAAACCCAUAAAUAAAGCCACUAAUUUUUUUUUCCCACCUCAAAGAAGUCCUAAGGGGGAUCAACUCCAAAACACCAAGUAGAGAAGAGAAAUAAAACCAACAUGAAAGGAGACACUUACCCCAUGGUGGGUUGGAGUCUAUGCAAUACUCCAAAUCCUGAAGCUGCUCCAUGGGAGGGUGGCUUAUGUCUGCCAUUACCCAACACCCCCCUCCCCCUUCCACCUUCCUCAACAAGACAAAAAGAAACCAAAACAAAGAGGGAGAGAGAGAGAGAGAGAGAGAGAGAGAGAGAGGUGGAAGGGAGGAGAAAGUGAAGUAAAACCUCUGUGGAGUCCCAGGUGGGGAGUGGGAAGUGGGAACUCUUUUAGAUUUCCCUUUUUUUAUUUUAAUUCAAUUUUAUUAUUUGGGUCAAGAAUAAAGGGAUAUAUGAGCAUAUUACAGGAAGCCAUUGCAUGAACCCAGUGUAACAUGCACCACACUCCUACAUCUCUAUCACACCCCAAAAACUUAUAAAAAAAAACAUAAUUUGAUUCUCAUUAAAUGUGUUAUGAACACUCAAAAGUCCUAAACUUCCAAUAUUUAUUUAAAAAUAUGUAGUCUAAAUCGAAUGUAAAUAAAAAUUCGGUAGUUUUUGUAAGAUAAUUUUACUCACCACUAGUCUCUCAAAUAAAUAAUAAAGAUUUUAUUAUUUAGGAUAAUCCCACUAUCUCAUAUACAAAAAUAGUAAAAUUUAUAAAUACAGAUGCCAAUUACAAUUUUUACUAAAUUAAAAAUUUACAGAUUCAUCAUUCUUAAUUAAAUAUUCAAAUUCAUCACAUCUUUAAUUACACUGUAUAUAUAGUCGUAUUAAAAUUUAAAGGUCGUUGAUAUAUGAGAUGUGCAUGCUUUUCUCGCUAAGAAAGUUACAACAGUUUACCCCGCGGACAUAAUUAAAUUAUCAUUUUAAUGAUGAAUUAUAUUUUUUUGUGUGAAUUAGAAAUCUUUAAUAUUAGGAUAGAAAUAUGAGAAAACAUAGUAUUAGCCUACGCUUGCUUAUAUACACCGGGUGCAGGGAAUAACUUUGAAACUGCCACCCAAUUGGCCCAUAAAUAUCGAAACUGCCACCCGGGCCCACCGCCUCUUUACUCUCUCUUUUCGCUUCCACCUUCCACUUUUGCCGAAAUAAAUUUCCAUACACCCGGUCCACUGAAGUUUUGAUCUCAACCGUCCGAGUAUUUUCGCCUGGAAGGGGAAUGUGAUAUUGGACGGAUGAGAUUGCGUAGGGAGAAAACUGCGUACACCGGGUGCAGGAGCAAUUUGGGUUUUUGUUCCUUUUUUUGUUCCUUGUGCUGUACCAGUGCAAUAAAAGCUGGUCGUUUCAAUCAGUUUGUUGUGACCCGUCGUACCGCAAAUAACUCAUUUUUUAUUUUAGGAGGCUUUGUUUAGGAUUGUAAGAAGAUUACACAACAUGUGAUAAAAAAAAUACGAUAAAAAAUAUCUUUUUUAUAUAUAAUAUCAUGUUUCGCAUAUCAGAAUGAGUCAAUUACGUUAUAUUUUUUGCGUUCCUAUAGAAAAACGCAGAAAUAUAUCUUUAUAUUUUUUUAUUCAAAUUCCAUUUUAUUCAAUAGCGUUAGAUGGGCCUCAAUAUCAAACUAAGGCUUCAUUUGAGAUUGUGCGGAGAUUGCGUUACGUGCGGUGAGAAAGUACGAUGAAAAAAUAUUUUAUUUAUUUCCAUACGUAAUAUUACGUUCCGCAUAUCACAAUGAGUUAGUUAUGAUAUAUUUUCUGCGCUCCCACCGGAAAACGCAGAAACAUAUCUCUAUAUUCUUUUAUUCAAACUCCAUUUUAUCCAAUAGCGUUAGAUGGACUUCAAUAUCAAACUAAGCCAGAGUGUGUUCUAAUGGGGAUAGGUACAAAAUGUAUGGAGGUCCCUCAACUAUAUGCUAUUUCUAAACUGCCUUCUAAAUAUAUAUAUUUUUUUUUCUAUGCUAAAUUAUACUAAUGGUCCUUAAAUUUUAGAGGCAAUUGCUUAUAUAUGUUCCCCAAAAAUUUCUGACUUUUUUUAUUACUUCUUUUAAAAGGCUAAUAUAAAAAAUAUUUUUUUAAUAUUUCAAGUUCUUUUAAAUUUACCUCUAAAAUUAAAUUUUAUUAAUGAACUAUUAAAAACAACCGUUAUCUUUAUAAAAUUACUAUUUUACCCUUUCAAAUAUAUUCUUAUGUUAUCAGCAAUUUUUCUUAUUUGCUUUUAAUUUAGGAGCAAAAAAAAUAUUUUGAUAUUUUGUCUUUUUAAAUAUACCUUUUUACUAUCACCAACUUUUUUAUUUGUAUUUUUAAAUAUACCCUUAUGUCAUCGCCAACUUUUUUAUUUGCUUUUAAGUUAGGAACAAAAAAUAUUUUGACUUUUUUUUAAUUAUGAUAAAAAUUUAAUUCGGUUUAACCGAGAUGACUUACCCACUACUAACAGCGAAAAUAUUUUUAAAAAAUGGAGAAAUAAAUGAGGGAUAUAUUUAAAACAAAAAAAGUAAGAAUUUAUAAGAUACUUUACAAAUUUUGAGGGGUUUAUAAGUAAUUAUUGCUAAAUUUUAAUUUGUUCGCAAGGUAAAAAUGCAUAGAUUUUAUCUGAACUUUGUCUCAUUUUGAUUCAAUUAUACAGCCAUUUAAAAUUUUGAUUUUGUUACUUGUAAGACAUUUGAUGGCCCUUCCAGUAUAAGUUUUAAGCUCUUUUCAAUUUAUCUAAUAUAUGUUAUUUGUAGUUGCAUAAAUAAUAUAAAAUAUAUUGAUCAGAUCCUUCAAUUAAAUAAUACAUUUAAAUUCUAAAGUUUAAGAAUUGUUAUCUGGCUCAAAUAAAAUGAGUUUAAAAUAUUGGAUAAUAAAAUCAAAAUUUUUAAGCAUUAGGCAAUUAGAUCAAAAUGGAUCAUACUGCAAGUAAAGUCUACAUAUUUUAUCAUACUGUAAUUUUAGCUGAAACUUUUUAAAUUAUUGCAAUUAAGUUUCGUGGUCCAAUUAAGUUGAAUGAAUGAAUAGUGUAGUUCAUGUGGUAAUGAAAUGAUAAUAUUGCAACCGAUGAUGUUGCAAUAACUAAAAUGUCAUGCCGCUGCCGAAACAUUAGUAUCUAAUCAACUAUAUUUGACUGUGUUACUUAAUUAUAAUUAUUUGAAAAGUUUAAACCAGAAAUUAUGAUAAAUUAAAGUUAGAAAAUAGAGGUGUCACCUGUGUUAUAAUUUGAGGACGAAAAGUGUGAUUUGGUCAUAAAAGUCAUCCUAUGAUCACAAGGAAAAUAUUUUUUAUACACUCUGAAAAAUGGUAUACAUCUUACACCCGCAAUUCUAGGGUUGAUGAAAUCAAAUUGGUUUUUAAUAAAGUUUUAAAAAAUUGAUGUGACAAGAAUCACCUUAUGAUGAAGUGAGAGUAAGAUGUACACCCAUUUUAGAGUGUGCCUAUAGCAGACAUUUUUAUCCCUCUUAUAUUAUACUGUUUUGGCUUUUAAAAAAACAUAUUUGAUAUGGCAAAAUUGACAUUUCACUUAUUUAAUAUUAAAAUAUAAAUAAUUCUUUAACGGUAACUAACUAGAUAGACAUAUUUAAAAAUAUUAGAACUUUUAUAGGGACAAUAUAUACAAAUUAAACUUUAUAGAGAUAUAUUUAUAAUACACUAUAUUUGCAGGGACCCGUAUGCAUUUAAUCUUUCUUUAAAUUUUACUAAAAUUCAAAUCAGAAGGGCUUCUUAGAACCCAAAAACAUAACAGUUGAGGGAUUAAUUUCGAAAUAAAACAUAGUCGAGGGUCUCUCCGUACAUUUUUGCUGCGCUUUGAAUUCGAGAACUCAUGUCCCCUCGGCUUUGUAGGGAUCAAACGAGAAUAAAUGUAUACGGAAAUAAUGCUUUGGGUCACACCAUAAAUAGUUUUCUCCGGAUGGUUCACGUACUGUGUUGACCCUGUGGAUCAUAUUAAAUGUAAUAAAAGGGCAAUUGUUUAUAGAGUUAAUUUCAUACACGACCCUGCAAACAUAGUGAAUGACAAAUAUAUUUCUACAAAGUUUAACUUUAAUAUAUUUUUCCUUCAAAAGUUCUGAUGUUUUCAAAUAUAUCCCUCUGAUUUGUUAUCGUUAGAGAACUAUUUAUAUUUUCAAUUUUAUCGUCACAAAUAUGUCCCUCCAAAAUCUAUAACAGUAUAAUAUAAGAGAGGUAAAAAUGUUAAAUCAGAGUUAAGUAUUUAACCUAUGAUUAACUAAAUUUUUCUAACGGAUUCUAACAACAGGGACAUAUUUAAAAAUAUCAGGGCUUUUGCAGGGACAAUAUAUGAAAGUUGAACUUUGUAGGGGUAUAUUUGCCGUUCACUGUAUUUGCAAAGACCUGUAUGAAAUUAACCCUUGUUUAUACAUCUAUGAAAAGUUUCAAACUUUUUUUUUUAUUUAUUCGACUUAAAAGGUUAAUCUAAAAAAUAUUUUUUAAUAUUUCAAGUUCUUUCAAAUAUACCUAUAAAUUAAAUUUUGUUAGUAAAUUAUUAGAAACCAUUGUUAUUUAUGUGAAAUUACUAUUUUGUUUUUUUAAAUAUACCAUCUACCAUCACCAAUUUAGAGGUGUCCGUGGACCGGAUCAGGUUCGGUGUCACGCCCCGGGGUCCCAUUUUGGUUUAAAAAUAAAGCGGAAGUGCUAAAAUUUUUUUUUUUUGAAACCUGACUCCCAGGAUAUGCCAGAUCCGCUACAAAUAUAGGGAGUCUACUGUUCAUACGGACAGAGUCUCCCCUGUAUUUGCACGGCGUCGUACAAAUACAAGAUACAUAAACAUGAUACAACCAUCACAACUGAAUAUAUUGUAACGCCCCGAGACCCACCUAUUUGGUCGGAUUUGGGCCCGCUAACAGACCGCCGAACUGACAGAGUUUUCACUAUACGUCUUAAGCGUCGCAAUCAAUACAAUUCACGAGAUUCCAACCAGAAACAGAUUUCCGGUAGAGAUUGCAUAAGGAAGUAUCAAAAAUAUGAAACAACUAAGUUAUUACAAGCAUUCACAUCACAUGCUUUUUACAAUUUACAUUUUCAUUUUCUCUUCUUCCAAAUACAAUCAAGAUUAUCACAAGUUUAUCUUUUCAUCUUUUCUACAUCCCUAGCUGGGCUGACUCGGGGUACCGCUAUCUCUGGUCUUAGUGAUAGGGCACUAUCUACGAAGCUACGCCCUUUCCUCGCGCCACCGCACCGCUCACGUGUAAACCUGAAACCCCAAAACCAUGUAGGGUGAGAACUAUUGUCCAUAGUUCCCAGUGGGUAUGGCCACCCAAGGGAAGAGCUCGACCCACCAGGUCCGAAGAAGGGACUGCAACAUGUUAGUCCAACAAAUAUAUGUUAAGUAUUGUGUGUUGGCAAGUUUCGUGAAGUGAGUCGGAGUCUUGAAGAAUCGAUGCGUAUCAUCGAAGAUCAAAGAAUUCAAGAUUUCGAAGAAAUUGAAAAAUGACUCAUGAUGUGAAUCACGAUGCUCAGGUAAAGUGUUAAUUCAUAUUAUGGUGAUUCAUAGUUAGUUGUAGGCAUUAGAAUCAUAAUAUCAAUGUUUACUGGAUUAAAAAGUGUAUCGAAAUUUUGCAAAACCCGAAACGGUGGAAAUUUGCAAAGUGUACCGGUACAGCAUCAGAAGUGUACCGGUACAAAAUGUGUACCGGUACAGCCAUCAAUAUGUAACAGGUUUCACUGUUUCGUUAGUUUUUUCUUUCCGUCAUCGUGUAACCGGUGACAGCUGAAAGUGUACUGGUACACAGUGUAAAUCAUAAAAACUUUCUAAUCGACUCCAAUUGAUUCUAAAAUCUAUAAAUAAGCUAUUGGAGUUCUCUAACAAAUCAAGCAUCACGAAAAUACAUGUUUGAGAAACCCUAGAGGCUCGGAUUUCAUCUAAAACCUAUUUUCUUCAUAAAGUCUCUUUUAGGUCAAAUCGAGAGAUUGUAAUUUGAUAUCAAUAUGUCGAUUUGAUUUUCGCUUCGCCUGGAGAUCGUUUUCCUGGUUUUCAUCGAUAUUCUAAGAGAAGGAUCACCAUAAUCAUGAUGCUCUUCGUGACGGCGUCGUGGAUUCGGCGUGAUUGACGGCAGUUCGUGGAUUCGGAUCGUGAGCUUCGUGGAUUCGGAGUGGAGGCAUUUCGUGGAUUCGAAACGUGGCGUUCGUGGAUUCGAACGUGAGGGCGUGGACAACCCAGAGGAUUGCGCGAGAUUCAUAGGAGGUUAAGAGAGGUCGAGUCCGUGGAGUCGGUAAUCACCUUGUAAUCUUUUCUCUUAGUGAAUUAUUUUUUCGCGUGUUGGUCCCGUGGAUUUUUCUCCAAGUUGGAGUUUUCCCACGUAAAUCUCGAUGUGAUUUUUAUUUUUCGCAUUAUUUUUUUAUUGCAUUGAGAUUUGUGGUUUUUGGCCGUUACACCUAUUCACCCCCCUCUAGGUGUUGGAUACAAUCUAGAUAGAUCCUUGGGCUCCUCAAAACUUUCAAUUGGUAUCAGAGCGAGAUCUAGAUAAAUUGUUAUCUAAUGGCCGAAGGCGGAAACAUUAAUCGACCACCGCUCUUCGAUGGCACAAACUAUGCCUAUUGGAAAGUUCGCAUGAGAGCUUUUCUAAUCGCAAUCGAUGAGCGCGUUUGGCAAUCUAUAGAAUUUGGAUGAAAACAUUCUAUUGAAAAGGUCGAGAAUGUUGAAACGCCAAAACCACGAAACAAGUGGACAAAAGAUGAAAACGAGUCAUCUUCGUUUAACGGUAAAGGAAUUAACGCUUUAUUCAACGCUUUAUCGCAAACGGAGUUUACUCGUGUUUCGGCAUGCGAAACGGCAAAGAAAAUUUGGGAUACUCUACAAAUUACGCAUGAAGAAACAAGCUUAGUAAAGGUUCAAAAAUUACAAAUGCUAACAAGCAAAUUCGACUCAAUUUUUAUGGAAGAAAAUGAAACCUUUACCGAGUACUACACGCGUCUACAAGACGUAGUCAAUACAUGCGCUAACUUGGGAGAGAAAAUCCCGGAUGCUAAGCUUGUUAGAAAGAUUCUUCGAACUCUUCCGGAACGCUUUCGGGCAAAAGUUGCCGCGAUCGAAACCGUAAAGCAUCCGGACGAGAUGAAAGUCGAAGAGUUAGUAGGCGCUUUACAAACGUAUGAGAUGACUUUUCCUACUAACCCAUCUUCUUCUAAGUCUUUUUCUAAAAGCACAGGGGUUGCACUCAAAUCAACAAAGAAACAAAAAGACGACUCGGAUUCCGACAGAGAUAUUUCGCUCGCCGAUUUUGAACAUCAACUUGCACUCCUCACGAAGAAGUUUCGACGGAAUUUCCGAAAGAAGAACAAUUCGGACAAGGCUUCAUCCUCUAAGCAAAAAUUCUUUUCUAAGCAUUCUUCAAGUUCUAAACUAAGGAUAAAAAACUUGUAAAGUCUUCGAAAGAAAAAGAUGAAUUUGAAGGCGAAAUUCAGUGUUACAAAUGCAAAGGCUACGGCUAUAUCGCAACGGAUUGUCCUUCAAAGAAGACUUAUAAGCAAAAGGCUUUGCAAGCUAAGACUUGGGAUGAUUCUUCUUCUAAUGAAUCAUCUUCAAGUGACGAAGAAAAAAGUGAUCAUGUUGCUUAAUUUACUAACACUUCUUUAUCUUCGUCUAAUGUUGUUUGUUUAUCCUCUAUUGCUACUAAUUUCAAUGUUUCUUUUUCUUCGCAUGACUCUUCGAGCGACCAUGGCGAAAGCGAAGAGGAAUCAAACGACGAGGACUUAGCAGAAGCAUACAACCAAUUUCUAAUUGAUUCGGAAAAGAUGACCAAGCUCAAUAAGAAGUUGAGGCGUCGGUUAUUGGACAUUGAAGAGGAGAACAAAAAUUUGAAGACCACGAAUAAAGCUCUUGAGGAGGAAAGGGAAGCAAUAUUGAAAAACAAUUCGAUCCUCCAAAAGAAGCUAGAGGAAGAGGAAUUAACGGUCAAAUAACCUAAAGACAAGAUUGGAUUUUUGGAGCAUCAAUUUCAGGAAAUUCAUGCAUCCAAUCUAGUCUUAACUAGUCAAGUUUGUCAACUCAAAUUCGAUCUUCAAAGAUUUUCUUCUGGAUCAAAGAAACUAGAUCAUAUACUCGGAUUAGGUCAAACAAACAAGUUGGACCUCGGCUAUGAAAGGACAUAUGUUGAGAAUGAUCAAACGGCGACAUCUAAAGUCUCAACAACUUUAAAGGAAAAAAUAUGUCAUCGAUGUGGAAACAAAGGACACAUCAAAAAGAGUUGCCCGGUAAAAAUAAAGAAGAAUCAUUCGGCAACUUCUAAAGCUCAAUUGACACAAUCUACGACUCGACAUUCCCCACGGAAUCAAAAGCAAAAUCAUUUAAGUCAAACACCUCUAGGGAACCGUUUUUCUAAUGCACAAUGUCAUGUUCAACCGAACCCAAAAGCAAACCGGAUUUCUAAGCCUCAACGAUAAGUUCAACCGAAGCCUCAAGCGACGAAACGACCAACGGUUGAUAAAAAAUCAAAGCAAAUUGUGCCUAAUGUCGACAAGACAAGACAACGCAAAAUCCGACAAGUUUGGAUUCGGAAAGGUGAUAUCUUUCCUUGCUCUUCGUCUUAGUUUGUUUUUUUGUAAUGCUUUGAUUGGUGCUUGUUGCAUAUUUUUAUUCAUUGCAUUACAUGAUGAUUUCCGUGUGCAAAAUUUUUUUUUAAAAAAAAAUGAUUUGAGGAAGGAUGUUUGGGAAUUUUAAAAAUUUCUUUUGAGAAAGGAGACGAUUGAAAAUCUUUAUUUUGGGGAGAUUAGAAUUUUUCAAAGUGUUUUUAACCGGAAUUCAUCUUGAAUUAACUUCAUAUUAAUUGUCGGUUUUAAUCCACUGUUUAUUAUUUUGACGAUAAUUUAAUAUAUGAUUUCUUAAUACAUAUAUUUAUCAAAAUUUUGAAAUCAAAUUUGAUCUCUUGGUGAUUAAUCUAUCUCAGUUGUGUGUGUUGGAUAUGAUAGAUGGAUAUUCGCUAAUAGACUAAAAUUUGUCAAAAUUAUUUUCAAUUGUAAGAUUGUCUAAUUUAGGGGGAGUUUAAAAUUAUUUUUUAAAAAAAGGAAGAAACUCCUAUAUUUAAAAAAUGUGGAAAGAGUUAUAUACUAAAAGGAGUGUGAAAACUAGCACCACAUGUAAGAAAGAGCUACCACCCUGGUCGUCCGGCAAGUGUGUGAGCUACCACAUAAAGAUUGAAUUGAAUAAUCGAAGAUGUUGAAAAAAAAAUAUAUUUUAGAAUUUUCAGAGUGAUAAGGUGUUAGUUUGAAAAAGUUGCUCAAAGAGCCACCCCCGAUAUCAUAUUAGUUAAAUCUCUAUUUUGAACGGAUUGCGACAAAUUGGUGUCAAUUUUGCCGAAUUUCUAAAAAUCAUUUUUCGUGUACCGUUACAUCUUGAUAAUUUUGAAACUCGAGGUCAUUUUUUAUAACAAAUUUUGAUGUUUCGGUGUAUUUUGAAAUCUUAUAAUAUUUUACCUUCAUUAUAAUGAUUCUUGGAGUAAAGUCCUUAAUUUGUAUGAAAUUAAUUUAAGUUUAAAGAAUUUUUAAAUUUAAAAUUUUGAAAUAUGGGAAAGUAUACUGGUACAAAAUCCCGUGUACCGGUACAAAUUACUGUAGCCGCGGACAUAAAACCGCUUACAGGGCUUUUUUUCUCCUCCAAAUCUAAAUCAAAUUUUGUUUUCUCUCUCUCUAAAAUCCCCAGGAGACUUCCUCUUCCAGAUCUACUCUGUUUUCGCAAAAAUUAGUGAGUAUUUAGCUUGGAUUUAGUCGUUUCAUCGCGUUCUUGCCUAUUUUUCGAGAAUAUUCCGAGUUGAAGCUAGAUCUCUAUUUUGAUUCGUUUUUGAUGGAAUUUUUGCUUCGUUUCAGUUUGUAUGCAUGUAUAAUUGCUUCUAUAACGUUUAGAUCAUGUCAUAAUGCGUUAUUUUUCGCUGAUCUAUGAUCCUUAUAUCAUAAUACAUGGAAUUUCGGGAUAGUUGUUGGAAUACCAAUUUUUUAUGAAAUUUUUUGCAUGAAUGAGUUUGAAAUAGCAUUAGUAUGCAUUCCAAGAAUAUUAGAUAUUUUUUCGCUAUUUUUACAGAUUUUUCAAAAUUUUCUUCAUGUAUGGCUCAUUUUAAUGUAGGAAAAUGACGUUCUCGCUUGUGAUUCUGCUUUUGGUGCUUAUGGCCGCCGGUCGUGGCCGUGAUGGUGGUCGAGGACGUCGCGGGACAUCAAAGAGAACUCAUACUGUCGACGAGUCAUCAGGAUCCGAUCCGGAUUAUCAAGCAAGCUCACCUGAAGCUACUGAAGAAGCUGUUACUAGGGCUGCUAAAGGAAAAGGCAUAGCAGGAGAAUCCUCGCGAUGAGGUAAUUCUCGUGCGCGUGAGAGUCGCUCCAAACGUGCUGCAGAGGCUUCAUCAGAGCGACGGAGGAUUUAUUCGAGUCGAUCAGUUCUAGUUGAGCGCUAUGUCAACUUUACUGAGCUGAUCAAGGAGGUUCCAGAUUUUGGUCGAUUGCUGCAGCCUGUAGGACGGGUUCAAGCUCGUGCUCCAUUCUGUGUGGAACUUAUUCGGGAGUUCUAUAUGAACGGGAUGGUGCUUGCAGAGGAUGAGGAGACUGGGACUUAUGUGUUUGAGACAUAUGUGCGUAACCAGAAGAUUCAAGUCACGCCUUACACUAUUGGAGAGCUCUUAGGUAUGCAUAUUGAUACUACUGGCCUUCACUAUACGACAGGGCUUUAUCAGUCUUCGACCCACUGGGAGACUGUUAUUCGAGCUAUAUGCAAGGAAGGCGUGAGGACAAAUCAUUCAUACGCGAAGGAUUUGCUACCCGAGUACCAUCUACUCUCCUUGGUGAUGAACUACAAUGUUCAACCUACAAUUGAAACAAAAAGGAUUCGUUGGGUUCGUUUGGUGCUUCUAUAUCUUCUUGGACAUCCUAAGGAAGCGGAUGGGUUGAACAUCAAUAUUCUCUUUCUGAUGUGGCAAAGAAUGGCCCAUGUUAUACAGUCUCAAGUUCGACGUGAUCUACUUCCGUUUCCGUUGUUGAUCACGAGGAUUCUUCAAGAACACGGAGUUGAUGUGUCGUGUGAGAAGUAUGACAUUGGACUUGGACCGAUAGAUAUUGUGACCUGGGCCAAGUCAAGAAGCACACUGAAGACUUUUCAGCAAACUAAGGGAUCAUCCAAAUGAGCUUCUAGUUCAGUACUUCCACCUCGAGCAGAGCGUGAGGGAUCUUCAAGCUCAGGGAGAGUGAUUACUGUAGAAUCACUUCACCAUGAAGUACGCUCUUUGAAGAAGAAAGUAGAAAGUGGCAGAUCUUGCUAGAAAGGUGGAGAUGGGAAUGAAGAGAAUGAUGGAGAAACUGGGAUGUAGGCAUGAUGAUAUUUUUCCUACUCAGCCUACCUACUCCACUUAUACCAGAUCGACAUCGCGACAUCCACUCAUUCCACCGUCCGGUGAUGCUCCUAAGUCUGGAGGAUUUGGAGCUGCCGCAGGAGAUGACGAUGAUGAUGACGAGGACACUGAGUGACUUCUUCCUCGAGUUCUGUUUUUCUACUUUGCUUUUUAGGAUGAUAUUUUAGUUUAGCUUUGCUUGCUUAUUUUUCUUUUGCAUGUUUUUACUUUUGCUUUAGGUCUGUAACUAUGACUUGACUAUUCUUAUACUUUCUAGUAUGUUUUCUCUCUUUAUAUGCUUUGUCUUUGGCAAUUUUUGACAAAAAGGGGGAGAGCAAUGAUGAACAGGUAUUGAUCUAAGCAAAGGUGAAGAAGGAACAAAGGGCUAAGCAAAGGUGAAGAAGGAACAAAGGGAGAGAAGGAGUGCAAUUUUGAGGAGAAGAAUGAAUAAAGAACAAAGGGAGAGAAGAAGCGUAAUUUGUAAGAAUGUCCAGGUUUCAACUUUCUAUAUUUUUUUUGGAUAAAUUAUUUUGCAGGAAAUCAAGACUUCAAGACUCCUUGUUGCUUCUAAGUCAUAGAGUCUGUUUUAGGAGUUUUUGAUGUACUUUUGCGUUUCAUAUUGUAUUUGGAUCACAUGCAAGGGGUUCAAUGUUUUGGUGAUGACAAUUGAACUUCGUUUUUUCUUUAAGAUGUAAUUUUUUGAGUUGUUGUGAGUUUUGUCACGAAAUUGCCAAAGGGGGAGAUUGUUAAGUAUUGUGUGUUGGCAAGUUUCGUGAAGUGAGUCGGAGUCUUGAAGAAUCGGUGCGUAUCGUCGAAGAUCAAAUAAUUCAAGAUUUCGAAGAAAUUGGAAAAUGACUCAUGAUGUGAAUCAUGAUGCUCAGGUAAAGUGUUAAUUCAUGUUAUGGUGAUUCAUACUUAGUUGUAGGCAUUAGAAUCAUAAUAUCAAUGUUUACUGGAUUAGAAAGUGCAUCGGAACUUUGCAAAAUCCGAAACAGUGGAAAUUUGCAAAGUGUACCGGUACAGCAUCAGAAGUGUACCGGUACAAAAUGUGUACCAGUACAGCCAUCAACAUGUAACCGGUUUCACUGUUUCGUUAGUUUUUUCGUUCCGUCAUCGUGUAGCCGGUGACAGCUGAAAGUGUACUGGUACACAGUGUAAAAUCUUGAAAACUUUCUAAUCGACUCCAAUUGAUUCUAAAAUCUAUAAAUAAGCUAUUGGAGUUCUCUAACAAAUCAAGCAUCACGAAAAUACAUGUUUGAGAAACCCUAGAGGCUCGGAUUUCAUCUAAAACCUAUUUUCUUCAUAAAGCCUCUUUUAGAUCAAAUCGAGAGAUUGUAAUUUGAUAUCAAUAUGUCGAUUUGAUCUUCGCUUCGCCUGGAGAUCGUUUUCCUGGUUUUCAUCGAUACUCUAAGCGAAGGAUCACUAUAAUCAUGAUGCUCUUCGUGACGGCGUCGUGGAUUUGGCGUGAUUGACAGCGGUUCGUGGAUUCGGAUCGUGAGCUUCAUGGAUUCGGAGUAGAGGCGUUUCGUGGAUUCGAAACGUGGCGUUCGUGGAUUCGAACGUGAGGGCGUGGACAACCCGGAGGAUUGCGCGAGAUUCAUAGGAGGUUAAGAGAGAUCGAGUCCGUGGAGUCAGUAAUCACCUUGUAAUCUUUUCUCUUAGUGAAUUAUUUUUUCGCGUGUUAGUCCCAUGGGUUUUUCUCCAAGUUGGAGUUUUUCCACGUAAAUCUAGGUGUGAUUUUUAUUUUUCGUAUUAUUUUUUAUCGCAUUGAGAUUUGUGGUUUUUGGCCGUUACACCUAUUCACCCCCCUCUAGGUGUUGGAUACAAUCUAGAUAGAUCCUUGGGCUCCUUAAAACUUCCAACAUAUAUGCAAGUACUAAAAUACAUGUUAUGCCUCUCAACAUGCAACAAUGCAAAUCAUGCAACUAUACAACUCAACAUGCAAUAAGCUAAGUAGAUCGACUGAUUCUACUUUCAAUCCUGCUAUCCACAGCUCAUCCAAUUGACAUCUAAGGUUUCCUCUAUCUUAGAUUUAUGUCAAUGACCAUUCUACUCAUAAGGUUUCAUCUACCUUUACAAAUCUAUCCACUCGACUCGGUCUUGAGUCAAUCAUUCGCGGAGUACCGCGUAAAACAAGGCUCAAGGUGAAGGACAUCUUACUUGCACCUCAGCCUUAAAUUCACUCAACUAGGAUACCAAAUCUACUCUACUGGGAUUCAACUACAGCUCAUAUGCUUAUCACCCAAUCAAUUGGCUAACCCGAAGGUUUCGCCCCAACUCGUAUCUCAAAUCCCAUAGAUGGGGAGCUACCCUGCUCUUGUCCCACCCGACUCACAUUUCAAAUCCCAUAGGUGAGAAGCUACCCCGCUUUUUUCCAUCCGAGACCGUCUGCUGGAAAACUAUGUCUGCCCCUCAGGUGACCACCUCUGGAGUGCACUGCUUGUGUGGAGCGACCACCUCAAGCUCAAAAUAGAAUAUGUGAGUACGAUUCAAUCCUCGCCAACUGAGGAUACCCUAUCAACUAGGAAUAACAAUAACACGGGAAAUCCACUAAUCCGAAUACUCAUGUUACAAGUGUCUCUACUACACUAGUUUCACAUAGCACAUAUCACAACAACUUGGGAAUUUUUCUAUCCCUAUGUCCAUAUCAGUGUUUUUACUACACUAGUUCCAAAUGCCACUCGAUCUAAUUGAUAUUCUAAUUGUCCACAUCGAGUAUCAUAGUUCAUAUGUCCUUAUUUUCUAAUGUCGAAUUCUCUAAUCAACCUAGAGUUAUCGACCCAAGUUCAAAUAUGUUACUUAACAUAAUCACGAUAUAUCAACAUGCAUAGUUCAUCUAACAUAAUCCAUCAUAUGUCAUUAUGCAUUUCAUCUAGCAUAUAUAAUAUGUCAACAUGCAUAUUCUAUCUCAUGCAUUCAUAUAGCCUCUAUGUCAUGCAUUCACAUAGCAUCUCAUGGUAGGUAACAAUAUCAAGCAUAAUAUGAUUCCUAUAUUCACAUUAUCAUGUACAACUUACCAAAUAUACACACAUGAAUCAAUGGUAACCACGCAUCAUCAUAAUCAUCCAAUGGUAGUCUAACAUAGCAUUCAUCUCAUGCAUUUAUAUAUUUUAUAACUAACCACCAACUAACCACCAUAUAUGCAUCAAUGAUAAUUAACACUUCACUUCGAUAUGGAAGUGAGCUAGUAUCUUCGGUGAGCACAACCCACCUCUUAACGCUUUCUGAUUGCUUGUAGUCACUUGCAAUCGGCCUCCCGCGGCACGCGCUAUCCUGUUCGGUCCGAACUCGCAAUCGUCAACCGAACACUCGCCGAUCCUCAACCUAGAGUCCUCAAGGAUUAUUCUCUAACCUUCAAUUAGAGAACAAUAGGGUUCAAUUAGAUCAAAACCCAUCAUUUGCCCAAACCCCAUUUCUAUCCCUAGCAUGUAAUUAACCUCAAAAUAUUCUAAAAUUAAAUAGAGCGACAUGCUAGAAACACUCUAGAGACCACUAGAACACUAAGCAUUAAGGAUUAAACCAAAUCCUAAAAACCUACCAAUAUUGCGAACGUUGAGUCAAAAGCACGCUUCUCCACCGGGCGCACGAAGACUCGAACCGUCGCUCCCAACGCGUUCCAAAGCUCGCUCUCCGCCAACGCCGCGAAUUUGAGAGAGAGAUCUAGAGAGAUGAGGGAGAUAUCUAGAGAGAGAAAGGGAGGGUUUCUUUCUCCCUCUCCAUUCCAUAUGUGUGUGUGUGUGGCGCUCUGCUGAGGAGGAAGAAGAAGACAUGAAGUCCUCUUUUGUAGUCAACAUCCUCAAAACACUAUUACAAUUAGCAGUUUAGCAGCUUAGAAUCUGUUCCUUUUCACCGGAGCCCUUCUGAAUGUCCGUUUGCGGUCAAAUUUGACAGUCAGGCUUGGUUUAACUUAAUAAGAAUAAAGAAAUUUUAAUCUUUCAGUUCCGACCAUUUUUGGUCACUGAAAACUCUAUGACUAAAAAUCUCUAACAGAUAGCAAUUGGAUUUUAUUUUUCACUUUUCGGGUUUCAGAAUGACAUGAAACUUUAAAUCUAGCCUCACAAAAAUAAUUCUGACAUAUUCUCAGAUUUUCAUAAUUUUCUUACAAUGUGAAUUUUCUGCUAAAAUAUCAACCCCGUUUCUCACAAAAUAUUCUAAAUCUCCUGUUUUUAUUCCGAUUUCAGCAUAAGUCAUUUCCGACUUAUACUUUACUUCUUCAAGUCCAAUAAAAAUAGUAUCUUACACUAUUUUUAUUUACACUUAAUUUGUAUUAAAAUCUGGUACAUUACAUAUAUAAACAUUUAUACAUUCAUACACCAUUCAAAACAGAUUCACAUUCAGAGUUGAAUCAUAAAUUCACAACUAUUAGUUUAAAAUGUUUCCUAACCGAAAACUUAUUUUGAAAUAUUAAGUCAUGAAAAUCAUGAGAAAACUCUUUUAAAAACUGUUUUUCAGACGAAAACCCUUUUUCUUUAAAACACGCUACCAUGAGAGGUAGAAAACCAUUUUCAUCUCAUGAAAAUCAUUAAAUCUUUAUCUCAUUCACAAAAUCUCAUUUAUCCAAUUAAAUGAAAGCCAACAGAACCAUAAAGUUUAAGUUAUUUAUUUUGAAUAAGUAAGGAUAGAAACUAGACCGAAUAUCACCGGGCCGGAAACUCUAUCGACCACUACGAACGUGUCUCACAUCUCGUCUUAUCCCUCACCGCCCGCAAUACCUGAAAAAUGGUGAGGGGUGAGAACAUGUAAACAUGUCUCCUCCUCCCAAUGGGUACCGCAAGCCGACGAAGGCGAGGAGUACUCAUCGGCAGAAAGAGAUCAACAAAGUCAUAAGUAAAUAUCACAAAUACAGUAGCUAUAAUACCGGAAGGAAAGGAAACAGUAAUAGAACAUGUAACUGCCGCUACUAUAAAAUAGAACAAAAUGCAUACAUGGAUAUCAGAACUACAGUAGUAAUGAUGCAUGGGUGACCAACAGUACAAGGAAAAUAUGACUAGCUACUACUGUAAUACAGAACGAAGUGCAAGUAUGUAUUAACUGGACAUACGAGAAGUCCAAGAUAUACCCAAUCUUUGUGGCCUGUCAUGAAGACUUGGCCUAAGCUCUCCCAUAGGUCUCAAGGACCGCAAAUCAAGUACCACACCGGAGGGACACAACAACCCGCAUUCAGAGUCGUUAACUCUGUCUAAGUACGACGUAUAUCAAGACUGGGGGUGAGGACUCAGGGUGGCGAACCCUGUCUAUGACACCUCACCUCCCACUGGGCUGGCAACUGAAGUACUCUAGGUUAGUAACCCAGUUUAAGACUCCUUCAAUGUCGUACAAGGUAUAGUCAUGUAUAUGCUCAAUAGCCAAUUGUCGGCAACUAGCCGACAAUCACCGACCCUCGGGGCACCCCGACCAAUAGGUCAUCGAACCGUAAGGAAACACAAGUACCGACCACUCAGGUUAACUAGGAUAGAACAACUCCACAUCCUCCCAAAGGUAUGCAAGUACUGGUCACUCAAAGUCAACUACCAUGUAUGCGCAAGAACCGACCAAUAAGUUACAAGAAUGUCACAUCAUGUAUCAAUAUAAUCCAGAACUAACCGUCAGCCACUAGCCAAUAAUCCUACCUUUCAGGGUACACCGACCUCAUAGGUCACCAAAUGAUAAGAGUCACAAAACCAACUAACUAGGUCACAUAAAUGCCAAAUGAUGGAUCUGUAUAAACUAUAAUCAUCCGUCGACAAUUAGUCGACAAUCCCACCUCUCGUAGUAUACCGACCUCAAAGUUCAUCAAACGACAGGAGUCAUAGAACCGACCGACUAGGUCACAACAGUGUCACGAAUACGGAAUACAACAACCGACCAACUAGGUCACCGAUCUCACAUGUAAUCACGAAACUGCUCUACUCUAAACAUGGUACAGGAUAUGCAAACAGCUAAGUAGAGCAACAAGGAAACAUAGUAUAGGUGCUAGGCUCAACAUAUAAUAUAUGCAUGUAGAGUAAUAACAGGAGAACAAGGGUAAGAAGAUAUCACCGAGCGUGCACCACUGUACAAACUUCGGAUCGAAGUACCCACCUGUACGAAUACGGUACGGAUCUUCCGACUGCGGAGGAAAUAACAACCGAACCUACGAAGGGUCCACCGGGUUAGAAUCCAACCCACGAACACAAAACACUAACCCACAAUCCCCACAAACAAACCUACGAGAAUCGGUUUUCCAAAAUAGAUUGCGGAACACGUCGGAAGUCCCAAAAAUCGCACAGGGAGUCCACCGGGACCCAUGAACUGUCCCGGAACUCACCGACUCAUGCUCCGAGUCACCCGCUGCCACUAAACACCAUUAUUCAUGGGACUUGGCAGCAAACACACUGUCUCACAUCGAAAUGAUUAUCGUCGGAUAAUCGUUCAGAUCCGAAUUCCCGAAAGUGUCUAAUUCGACACCGGAACCCACCGUCGCUCACCCGUCAUUUCCGAACCCUCGAAACGACGCGGGUGACCAACCAACAAGGCUCAGCGACAACAAAAAUCUACCGUGAGGCACCGUCGGAAGAAUUCCAAACCGAAAACGCGUUCCGUCGGCGGAUUUAGCCGCAAAACGCACCAAAAAUCAACAUUUGAUUUCCAGAAAGGCUUGGGGCCUUGGACAACUAGUCCAGAGGUCACCCACUACCCACACACGCUGCCAACGGCGACCCCAACAAGCACAAUUGCGUAAAAACUCUCCCAAUAACAUAAAAUCACAUUAUUUCAUGUGAUUUUCGGGGUUUUAUGGCCCGACAACGUAAACCGAAGGUCAUUCAGCCAAGCCGAGACACCCGUUGAUAGGUCUCGGCAUGCUGGAGCACUGCCGGCCGCUGUGGUGAGCGCACGAGCUACACGAACUACAGCGAAACAGCGCGCACAGCGCCUAAAUCGCAUCUACUACGCAAACCAGGGCAUCUCUGACCCUAACGGAGGUGAGCACGAUGUUCAGCACGAAGUAGGGAUCAUCGUGCUCACUUCUAAACUUAUCGGGGUGCCCUCUGAUCGCCGGAAAGGCGACCAGAACCCUAAGACAGUGUGCAAAUAGCAUAAUUAGGGCUUACCUUACAGUAGGAGCACGGGCAGGUCGUUGACGGCCAGGCGGCGGGCGCGCCGGCAGGGGACAGGUGCGGCCGGUUAAUGGGGUCUGGGGCAGGUGCUUGUCGACGGCGGGCAGCAGCCGUUGGCGCGGCGGCAGAGAUCAGACCCGGACAACUAAGCUCGGCCCAAGGGAACAACGGCGGCCAGGCGGCGGUCGGAGGAGCCUUGCGGCGAUGGCGGCCGGUCGCCGGGGGCCAAGAGAGGGCGGUUCGGCCGGCGGUGGGCGACGACAGCGCACAGAGGCCAAAUAGGUCUCAGCUCAGCCCGCAUAGGUACUGGGCGGCCGCAGGGAGCAGUGCCAGCGGCCAGAGGCCAUAGGGACGACGACGGCGACGUGCGGAGGGUUGCCGGAAGCCCAAGGAGGGCGGUGCGGCCAAUCAGAGGCAUGGGUGAUGCGCGGGGACUAGGGUGAUCCCAGCUCGGCCUGCUUUAGAUCUGGGCGGCCGCAGCUAAACCUGGCGGCUCCGUCGGCGCACGGGGACGGCAGGGGCCGGCGGGGAUGGUGCCGGAGGUCCAACCUCGGCCGGGGAAGAGGGGCCCGAGGUUGUGGAUGCUUUCCUGCGGUCGACGGCCGAGAGUGUGGUGGUUAGGUGGAGGGAAGAGGUUGAGAGGGAGGUGUUGCUGGCUUUCCGGCAGCCGUGGGUGCUUGUCGGCGGCCGGGAUGUGCGCACGAGCCAGGCAGGGAUGGGCUGAGACAGCUAAGGCUUAGCUCAGCUGAAGAGGAGGUCCAGGAGCUAGGUUUCUUUAUGAAACCCUAGUUGCACUAUUUAUAUAUAUUAUGUACAAUUGCAAAAAGAUCCCCCAUAUCCAAUUAUUUUCAGCUCAGUCCUCACCAGUAUGUGCAUUUUGCACGCAAAGCCCCUCGACGUUCAAAAUCACGCAAAACGGCACAUAAAAUAUUAGGUUUUUCGCCAUUUUCUCAUUUUGCCAAUUUCGACCCCUCAGCGAAUAUUUCGCGAUUCCCGAAGAUCCGUCCGUCGGAUUUCUAAACAGAUCACACCAGCACGUUCAACACGACUGGAGCAUCGAAUCUACAAUUUAGUUUCGUCCGAUUCGGUCGUCGAUUUGCGACAAAACCAACCUUCUCCAAUCUCCAAAAACCACACCUAUACAUAGAAAUCCAAUAAAACUCUUUUUCUCGAAAACCGUGCAUCAAAACCCAAAUCCGUCAGUGCCAUUG
rnacentral:lncRNA from 1 species